rnacentral:lncRNA from 1 species
GAACAUGUUCUGUGGUACCUAACGCCAAGACCAGCUGAUUCUUUAAGUCCUGUAAGUUGCGAGGUGGACCUCCAUGGAUCAUGUUGUUGUUCCAUCACAUCCCAUAAAUGCUAAAUCAGAUUGAGAUCUGGGGAAUUUGGAGGCCAAAGUAACACCUUGAAGUCUUGGUCAUGUUCCUUAAACCAUUCCUGAACAAUGUUUUAAUUGUGGCAGGGUGCAUUAUCCCGCUGAAAGAGGCAAGUUCUGGUAUAAGAUGUAUAGGAUAUACAUUCUGGUAUGUUUUUUUUUUUUAACCAAGGGGUUUAAAUAUAUUUAUGUCCAAAUGAAAGUCAAAGAUUGAAAAGCUAUAUUGGUGUGGCAUUUUACUUGGAAAACAGUUGAUUAGAUAUUUAUCUGGACAGAAAGACAUUAACACUAUCUUAUUUCCCAGUCUGUAUUUGAGGUAUGACAUCAGAGCAUAAACAAUAACAUUAUUUAUACAGGCAUAAUUAGUAAUCAGGCUUGAGUUAAUCAUUAGGGAAGAUAUUAGAAUUAUGUGAUACUAUUUUGAUAAAAGGCUGCUUGUGCCAUUAUUGUCUAAGUUAUCCAAACUACUUGGCCAAACUACUUAGCUUACUAGGAAAUGUUUGAAGUACUGAUAAAAAAAGAAAAAACCCUUUCAGACUAUUGUGAAACAGUGAUUAAUGUUUCAUUGUUGAAAAUGAAAAAAGAACUGUUACAGACAAAGCAGUAGUUGUUAAUAAAUCAACAUCAGUAAAACCACAAAAAUGGACAAUGAACAUCUUAUAUGUGUACCACAGUUAUAAUCAUAUUAACCCCUUAAGGACCGAGGACGGUUCAGGACCGUCAUCGGCAUUUUUGCCUUGAGGACCGAUGACGGUCCUGAACCGUCCUAACGGUCAGAGCUACUUACCUGAUCGCCGUCGUUCCCCCGGCGGCGAUCAGCGUGGCUCCGGUUGUGGGGAGACUGCCUGCAGCCCAGACAGUCUCCCCACACUGAUUUAGGACCCCUGUGGCCAUGUGAUCGCUUAACACAGCGAUCACAUGGUCACAAUAGGUGUCCAUGUGUCUGCCUGCAGGGGGACUGUCUGUGCUGACAGGCAGUCUCCCUGCAUGUGUAAAAUCAAAAAAUAAAAUAAAGUUAAUGUUAAUUAAAAAAAUAAUAAUAAUUAUAUAUGUGUAUAUAUGAUAUAUAGACAUAUAUUAUAUCUAUAUAAUAUAUGUCUAUAUAUCAUAUAUAUAAUGCCAUACUAAGUGUAUUUUUAUAUUAAUAUGUACUUAUAUUAAUAUAAAAAUACACUUAUAAUUAAAUUACACACAUAUAUAUAUAAUAUAUAUAAUAACUAUAUAUAUUGUAUAUAUAUAUUAUUAUAAAAUAUAAAUAAUAAGUAAUUUAAAUUAAAUAAUUUUUUUUUAAAUAAUAAUAAAAAUUUUAAAAAAAUUAUAUAGCUAUAUGAAAUUUUAUUCUAACUGUAUUUUAAAAUUAAUAUAUAUAUAUUUAUAUCAAAAUACACUUAGAAUGAAUUUGUAUAUAUAUCUAUGUAUAUAAAAAUAAAUAAAAAUAAUAAGAAAUAUACAUACGUCCAUAUACAAAAUUACAUAAAUAAUUAUAUAAAUAUACACGUAGACUUCAAAUAUAUAAAUAUGCAUAUAUAUUUAAAUUCUACGUGCGUAUUUAUGUAAUAUUUUUACAUAAUUCAGUAAUUUUAUUGAUUGCAAUUUGAGGGACCUGCCUGCCAACCCAGGCCGAAAUUCCAGAGAAUUUAAUUUGCUAGCACUGUAUUUUACCCUGUAACGUUCUACGACACCCUAAAACCUGUACAUGGGGGGUACUGUUUUACUCGGGAGACUUCGCUGAACACAAAUAUUAGUGAUUCAAAACAGUAAAACAUAUCACAGUGAUGAUAUUGUCAGUGAAAGUUACUUUUUUUGCAUUUUUCACACACAAACAGCACUUUUACUGAUGAUAUAAUUGUUGUGAUACGUUUUCCAGUUUUUAAACACUAAUAUUUGUGUUCAGCGAUGUCUCCUGAGUAAAACAGUACCCCCCAUGUACAGGUUUUAUAGCAUUUUUGAAAGUUACAAGGUCAAAUAUAUGGGUCAAAUAUUUUUACAUUGAAAAUGGCCAGGUUGGUUACGUUGCCUUUGAGAGCGUAUGGUAGCCCAGGAAUGAGAAUUACCCCCAUGAUGGCAUACCAUUUGCAAAAGAAGACAACCCAAGGUAUUGCAAAUGGGGUAUGUCCAGUCUUUUUUAGUAACCACUUGGUCACAAACACUGGCCAAAAUUAGCGUUCAAUUUAGUUUUUUUACUUUUUUCACACACAAACAAAUAUGAAUGCUUACUUUGGCCAGUGUUUUCGACUAAGUGGCUACUAAAAAAGACUGGACAUACCCCAUAUUGAAUACCCUGGGUUGUCUACUUUAAAAAAAAUAUGUACAUGUGGGGUGUUAUUCAGAGAUUUAUGACAGAUAAUAGUGUUACAAUGUCACUAUUGAUAAAUUUUAAAAAUGUAUGUUUUGAAACCGCAAUAUCCUACUUGUACCUAUAGCCCUAUAACAUGCAAAAAAAAGCAAAAAAGCACGUAAACACUAGGUAUUUUUAAACUCAGGACAAAAUUUUGAAUCUAUUUAGCAGUUUUUUCAUUCGCUUUUGUAGAUGAGUAAAAGAUUUUUCAAGUAAAAGUCAAAAAACAUGUAUUUUUUUCAAUUUUUCAUCAGAUUUUUGUAUUUUUUUUAAAUUAAAAUACAUGAGAUUAUAUAAAUAAUGGUAUGUAAAGAAAGCCCCUUUUGUCCUGAAAAAAACAAUAUAUAAUUUGUAUGGGAACAGUAAAUGAGAAAGCGGAAAAUUACAGCCAAACACAAACACCACAAAAGUGUAAAAAUAUGCCUGGUCGCAAAUGUACAACAUCGCAAAAACAGUCCAGUCCUUAAGGGGUUAAUAUUAUUCUUAUUAUAAGCAUAGGUUAUUGUGCAGCUAAAUUUAUAUUUCAUUACAAUUGGUUUUUAUUAACUAAACUAUUUAACCCUUUAGUGACCAGACCAGUUUUCAAUUUUCUUACCGUUUAAGGACCACUAUAGUACCAGGAAAACAAACUUGUAGUCCUUAGGUCCCCCCCACCCUCAUGGCCCCUCUCCCGCUGGGCUGAAGGGGUAAAAACCCCUAUAGCCACUUACCUUUCUCCAGUGCUGGGCUCCCUUGGUGCUGGUGACCUCUCCUCCUCCUGCCGACGUCAGCUCCGAAUGCGCAUGUGCGGCAAGAGCUGUGCGCGCAUUCAAACAGCCCAUAGGAAAGCAUUACUCAAUGCUUUCCUAUGGACGUCAGUGUCUUCUCACUGUAAUUUUCACAGUGAGAAUCGCGGAAGUGGCCUCUAGUGGCUGUCAGUGAGAGAGCCACUAGAAGCUGGAUUAACCGUCAGCAUAAACAUAGCAGUUUCUCUGAAACUGCUAUGUUUUCAGCUGCAGGGUUACAUCUAGAGGGACCUGGCACCCAGACCACUUACUUGAGCUGAAAUGGUCUGGGUGCCUAUAGUGGUCCUUUAAGGACCAGGGCUGUUUUUAAAUUUCUUCGGUGCUUGUGUUUAGCUGUAAUUUUUCUUUUAAUCAUUUACUUAACCCACACAUAUUAUAUACCGUUUGUCUCGCCAUUAAAUGGUCUUUCUAAAGAUACCAUUAUUUUCAUCAUACCCUAUAAUUUACUAUAAAAAAGUAUAAAAUAUGAGGAAAAAAAUGUAAAAAACACACCUUUUCUAGCUUUGCCCACCAAACUCCAAAAUCUGGUACGCAUCUACAACUGCCAAAAAACACCAAAGCUAAUUAGUUUCUACAUUUUAUCCUGAAUUUAGAAAUACCCAAUGUCAACAUGUCCUUAGAUUCUUCUUUUUUUUUGCAAGUUAUAGGGCUAUAAGUUACAAAUAGGACAUUGCUGUUUCGAAAUAUAUAUUUUUUAAGAUUUAUCAGUAGUGACAUUGUAACACAUAUUUUUUUUUAAAGUAGACAACCCAGGGUGUUCAAUAUGGGGUAUGUCCAGUCUUUUUCAGUAGCUACUUAGUCACAAAUACUGGCCAAAGUUAGCAUUUAUAUUUGUUUUUGUGUUAAAAAUGCAAAAAACAAUUAUGAAUGCUAGCUUUGGCCAGUGUUUGUGACUAAGUGGUUACUAAAAAAGACUAAACUUACCCCAUUUGCAAUACCUUGGGUAGUCUUCUUUUGCAAAUGGUAUGCCAUCAUGGGGGUAAUUCUCAUUCCUGGGCUACCAUACGCUCUCAAAUGCAACAUAACCAAUCUGGCAAAUUUCAAUGUGAAAAAACAGAAAAUCAAGCCUUAUUUUUAACCCUGUAACUUUCAAACAUACUAUUAAACCUGUACAUGGGGGGUACUGUUAUACUCAAGAGACUUUGCUGAACACAAAUAUUAGUGUUUCAAAACAGUAAAUCCCAACAUUGAUAUCAUCAGUGAAAGUGCCGUUUGUGUGAAAAAUGCAAAAAACUUCAUUUUCACUGACAAUAUCAUUGCUGUGAUAUGUUUUACUGUUUUGAAACACUAAUAUUUGUGUUCAGCGAAGUCUACUGAGUAAAACAGUACCCCCCAUGUACAGGUUUUAGGGUGUCUUGGAUAGUUACAGGAUUAAAUAUAGUGCUAGCAAAUUAAAAUCUCUGGACUUUUGGCCUGGGUUGUCAGCAGGGCCGCCAUCAGAAAAUUUGGGGCCCAUGACAAAGCACAAGGUCUGGGCCCCGCCCCCCCUCCUCCCGGGCCUGCCCACGCCCUACAUAGUCCGCUCACAAUGAUGCAGGACUGAAUGUGGUGUGUGUAUAGUGGAAGUGAAUUAGAAUGUGUGUAAUGGAUGUAGUGUUUGUGUGUAUUAGAUACUGUUUGUGCAGUGAAUGCAGAGUGUGUGUUUGUGUAGCGGAUGCAGUGUGUAUAGUGAACGCAGACUGUAUUUGAGUAGUGGAUGUAGUGUGUGUACAGUGAUGUAGUGUGUGUUUGUGUAGUGGAUGUAGUGUUUCUAUGUACUAGAUGAAAUGUGUUUAGUGGAUGCAGUGUCUGUAGUGUGUGUAUUAGACGCAGUGUCUGUGUAUAGUGAAUGCAGAGUGUUUCAAUUUGUGGUGGAUGUAGUGUGUGUACUGUGAAUACAGGAUGUUUGUGUAGUGGAUGCUGUGUGUACAGUUAAUGCAGAGUGUAUGUUAGUGUAGUGAAUGCAGAGUGUGUGUGUCAGUAUAGUGAAUCCAGAGUGUGUGCAUAGUUUAGUGAAUGCACAGUGUGUGUUAGUGUGUAAUGAAUGCAGAGUGUGUGUUAGUGUGUAGUGAAUGCAGAGUGUGUCAGUGUAAUGAAUGUAGUGUGUGUGUUAGUGCAGUGAAUGCAGAGUGUGUGUAAAUUUGUAGUGAAUGCAGAGUGUGUGUUAAUGUGUAGUGAAUGCAGUGAGUGUGUUAGUUUGUAGCGGAUGCAGAGUGUGUGUUAGUGUAGUGAAUGCAGUGUUAAUGUGUAGUGAAUGUAGAGAGUGUGUUAGUGUGUAGCGAAUGCAGAGUGUGUGUUAGUGUAGCGGAUGCAGAGUGUGUGUUGUGUUAGUGUAUGCAGAGUGUGUGUUGUGUUAGUGUAUGCAGUGUGUGUGUGUGUUGUGUUAGGGUAUGCAGUGUGUGUGUUGUGUUAGUGUAUGCAGUGUGUGUGUGUGUGUGUGUUGUGUUAGUGUAUGCAGUGUGUGUGUUGUGUUAGUGUUUGCAGUGUGUGUUGUGUUAGUGUAUGCAGUGUGUGUGUUGUGUUAGUGUAUGCAGUGUGGGUGUGUUAGUGUAUGCAGUGUGUGUUGUGUUAGUGUAUGCAGUGUGUUGUGUUAGUGUAUGCAGUGUGUGUUGUGUUAGUGUAUACAGUGUGUUGUGUUAGUGUAUGCAGUGUGUGUUGUGUUAGUGUAUGCAAUGUGUGUGUUAGUGUAUGCAGUGUGUGUUGUGUGUUAGUGUAUGCAGUGUGUGUGUUAGUGUAUGCAGUGUGUGUUGUCUGUUAGUGUAUGCAGUGUGUGUUGUGUGUUAGUGUAUGCAGUGUGUGUUGUGUUAGUGUAUGCAGUGUGUGUGUUGUGUUAGUGUAUGCAGUGUGUGUUGUGUGUUAGUGUAUGCAGUGUGUGUUGUGUGUUAGUGUAUGCAGUGUGUGUUGUGUGUUAGUGUAUGUAGUGUGUGUUGGUGUAUGCAGUGUGUGUGUUGUGUUAGUGUAUGCAGUGUGUGUGUUGUGUUAGUGUAUGCAGUGUGUGUGUGUUGUGUUAGUGUAUGCAGUGUGUGUGUUGUGUGUUAGUGUAUGUAGUGUGUGUUGUGUAAAUGUGUGAUCUGGGGGGGGAGGGGGAGGAAGGGGCAUUUUAACAUUAAUUUUUUAUUAAUUUAAUUAAAUGUUUCUCCCCCCUCCCUGCUUACCUGUGUCCAGGGAGGGGGGAGAUUCCAUCUGUGGUGGUCCGGUGGGGGCCCCCCCGGCUCCCUGUUACCGNNNNNNNNNNNNNNNNNNNNNNNNNNNNNNNNNNNNNNNNNNNNNNNNNNNNNNNNNNNNNNNNNNNNNNNNNNNNNNNNNNNNNNNNNNNNNNNNNNNNAAAUUGCCACGAGUUCUUGGAGGGGACUACUUGCCAGCCUUUUACCCUGUGACUAUGGCCCAUUUAAGUUACUGUGGUUAAAGAUACUAUUUUCGCCUGUUUGGGACUUUAAACAAUUGUUCUUCAAACUUCCGAACAGCCGGACCACACACAAGUGGAGUGUGCAGAGUAUUUACAUCCCAGGCUGGUAGUUAACUGCAGCCAAAUUGACGAAUUAAAUUUCUGCUUACACUCCAAAAAUGUGUGUCGUCCUGUUAUUGGAGGGAAAGAAGACUUGCUCCUGUGUCUGCUGUUCCAGCUUGCAGGAGAUUCAACGGGAAAGUCCUUGUAAGGACUAGAGCUAAUUCCCCAUUCGGCUCCAGGAAGGAGUGGUUCCAGGGCCCACGUCCAGCUACGGGGACUGUGGGCAGAAGUGCUGUGGUUUGUCCCCUGUUCCAGCUAGGAAGUGGUCCUUUGGCGGAGGUACCCAGCCGGGGUACAGCAAGCUCCACUACAAUAUAUAUAUAUAUAUAUAUUAAUAUCAAAAUUCAGUUAGAAUAAGAUUACAUAUAUAAUUAUAUAUAUAAUUUAAAAAAUUGUACAUUUAUUUAUUUAUUUUUAAUUAUUUUUUUAUAAUAAAUAUAUACAAUAUAUAUAGUUAUUAUAUAUAUAUUAUAUACACAUGUGUGUAAUUUUACUCUAAGUGUAUAUUUAUAUUAAUAUAUGUAUAUAAAAAAACAUACUUAGUAUGACGUUAGUAUAGGGGGUCAGGUUUUGCAGAGGGGCCCGGCAGUGAGGGGGGUACUGCAGUAUGCCCCGAUAUUGAGGCAUCGCUGCAAUACCAUUAGAGCGGCUGGAAGUAAUCAUGAUCACUUCAAGGGCUUAAAUUUGCAGCGGACGUAUCAGGUACGUCCGAGGUCGUUAACGACCAUUUUGUGUCGGACGUACCUGAUACAUCCUUGGUCACUAAAGGCAGGCCCGGACUGGGCAUUGGGCACACCGGGCAAAUGCCCAGUGGGCCGCGGUGGACAUGGGCCGAGGCCGGCAGGGGAGGCCCCGCUGUUUUCCAUGACGGGCCGGUGGGGAGAUCAAAGCUCUCUCUCUCACCGGCCCACUUGAAUAGACAUGCGGCUGGGGAGGGAGAGGAGGACCCGGCAGAGCUCUAUUUUGCAGCUCCGCUGGGUUCCUCUCGCGAGAUCAGGAGCGUUGCCAUGGCAACGCCCCAAUCUCGCAAGAGUGAACUCUAGCCCACAGGCUAGAGUUCACUAACCCAUAGGACCACCAGGGAUGGUGUGAGAGUGCCGUCAUCCACUCUCCCACCGGGUACCACCGUGCCGGUCCCCCCCUCCCAGGCUAAAGUUGUUUUAUUAGUUUUUUACCCCCCCCCCAAACACACAAUCCCUUCUAACAUUCACCCACAGCACCCUCACAAACAUCACUUUCAGCACCCUCACAAACAUUACUCUCACACACAUCACUCUCACACACAUCACUCUCACACACAUCACACUGUGCACUCUCACACACAACACUCUCACACACAUCACACACAUCACUUUCACACACAUCACACUCAGCACUCUCUCACACAUCACACACAGUACUCUCACAAACAUCACACUCAGCACUCUACCACACAUCACCUUCACACACAGCACUCUCACACACCUCACACACACCACCCUCACACACAAAUCACACACAUAGCAACCUCACACACAUCAGACACAGCACCCUCACACACAUCACACACAGCACCCUCACACACAGCACCCCUCAAACACAGCAUCCAUCACCCUCACACACAGCACUCUCACACACCUCACACACAAAACACACACACAGCACCCUCACCCACAGCACCCUCACACACAUCACACACAGCAGCCUCACACACAUCAGAAACAGCACCCUCACACACAUCACACAUAGCACCCUCACACACAUCAUAAACAGCACCCUCACACACACAUCGCACACAGCACCCACACAUCACACACAGCAACCUCACACACAGCACCCCUCAAACACAGCAUCCAUCACACACACAUACUGCACCCUUCACAUACACACUACACCCCUCACAGACACCCACUGCACCCCUCACACAUACACACAGAACCCAACACACUGCACCAAACAAACACACGCACACACAAUGCUUCCAAACAUAUUUAUAUUAUAUAUAUAUAUAUAUAUAUAUAUAUAUAUAUAUAUAUACUACAGCACCCCUCACAUACACUGAACCCCUCACACACAUACCGCACCUCUAAACACAUUACAUUCCAGACACACACUAGAUCCCUUACCCAACUCUGGAUCAUAUACACACACUAGAUCACUAUAUACACUCUGAAUCUGUUAUAAACACACACUCACUAGAUCUCCUACACAUUCUGGGUCCUUCAAACACACACUAGACUCCUGUAUACACACACUGCACCACCUACACACACUGCAUUCCUAACACACUCUGGAUCUCCUAAACACACACUAGAUUCCUUGUAAACAAACACAUACUACACCCCUAAACACACACUCUCUACAACCCCUACAAACACUACAUCACCUAUACACACACACACAUACUAUAGCCUGUAUGCACACACUUACUACAUCCCCUAUACACACAUUCUCUACAGCCCCUAGCCACAUAUGCAUUACAUUACACCAAAAACACAACACGACUAAAACCGACCAUAUUACACAAUACCACACCACAAUCAGUUCACUCUACACACACGCAAUCCCACAAGCAGGCUCCAAACACAUGCACAAUACUCUUUCCUGGCCCUUUUGUCUCCUGGUAUCCAUUUAUACCAUUGCUUGCACAGUGCAGAACAAAUACAGGGCUUUUUUUCUCAUGCUAGAGCUCUCUAGGUCUGCCCUGGAAGAGCAUUGAACCAACAUGCUCACUUUGAGAGGGGGCGUGUUUGUCAAUGGUGAUGACGAAAUCCUCUUCUUAGUGGGCCGCUGUGGUAAAAAAACGCCAGGGCCGAAUUUUUCUCCCAGUCUGGCCCUGACUAAAGGGUUAAUAUAGAGAAACUAUAGAGCUAACCUGCCACAUAAAUACAGAUUUAUAUAUAUCAACCUUAAUAACUUAGAAUCCAUUGGGUCAAAAAAUUCCAGUUUUGUUUAAUCACUCUACAGAAUGCUUAAACUUCUGUGGCUUAUUUAAAUUCUUUUGAGCACAUUGGAGCCGACUUUUCUUGUGCUUUUGGGUCAGUAUUGAUGUAUGUCUUGGUGUUCAAGCAUUGAAAGCUUCGGUGUGUAGUAUGUGCCUUAAUGUGCCUGUUACCACCAAGUUUUGUUGCAGGUGUUUUGCAGUCACUCAAGGAUUUUUCUGAACCUGCCUUCUCAGAAAUCUGGUUGCAGCCAUUGAUAGCUUACUUUUUCUACCCCAUCCAAGUAAUGUAACCACUGCUAUUUUAAAUUUGAACUUACAAACUAUGAUCCUAACAAUGUCUGUAGGAACAUUCAGUGCCUUCACUAACUUUUUGUAUCCUGUUCUUUGUUUGUGAAAGGCGAUGAUCGCGUCUCUUAACUUUGUGGACCAUUCUUUUGACUUAGCCAUAUUUCUAACAUGCAAUCAAAUGUGACACUCAAACCCCUAGCCAGUUCAGGUAUUUCAAGUGUUCCAGCUUAAGCACACCGAGUUUAACUAAUGAAGCCCUUGACUUGUUGCUUGCAACAACACCUGUUUUGCAUAUUUGUGCUUUUGUGAGGGAUUCUAUUAAGGGAGAUGAAUAAUUUUGAGACUGGAGAAGUCAUUAUAAGUUGCAUUUUCAGUCAGAUUUGGGAAACCCACUUGAAGUAUUCGUUGUGUUGAGCUAUUUCAAUUGAUUUUGUUUGUUUUGAUCAAUGUAAACAGUUGAAUGUCUGUAAAUGUUGACAAUAAACCUGAUUUUCAAUUGGGGGGUUGAAUAAUUUUGAAUACAACUGUAUUUAGAGUGCAAUGUCAUUACACAAUUUUCAGUUGCUUUUCACACUGAUCAUCGUUAUACAGUCUCUAUUCCUCACUUACAAACGUUACCCUUAUGUCUUCUUUGUUUAUCGUGCAUAUAAUUCAUGAGAAACACUCCAGUCGCAGCAGGUAAGCUUGCUCAGUUUGCCCCCUCCCAACCCCCUACUUACAAUUUAUGCUUCAUGUAUACAGUAACGGCACUCAGUUUGGUUAAACAUGCACUAGUCACCCGGGUCUUUGCUUGUCCUUCAAUAUAAUAGUUAGAAUAUCAUAGAGAGCUUGUUUUCUGAUAAUUUAGUUAUUGAUUACAAUUUAUGAUUUCUUACAUCAAAGGUUAUGGUACACUUCAAGUUUAUGGUACACUACAAGUUUCCUUUCAAAAGUUAGCUAUGUACCCUCUUUUAUGAUUACGCUUUAUUCUAGUUAAAUCUAUAGACACACAUUUUUUUUCUUUCUUCGUGUAUAUAGUUAUGGUAGCACAUUUUCUGUUUCCUUAAAAUACAAUAAAGGUUAAGCAUUUUCUGUUUCACAUUUGUUCUGCAUGCACGUGAUGAUUUUACAAACACUUUGAUCACACACUGUUAAGGUUGCAAAUUCAGUGGCCAGUUGAUAGAGUUAUGGUUAUACCUUAUAAACUCCCCAUGCUAUUAGAAUGGUCAGGUUGGUAUUCUCUUUCUAUGCAUACAAGUAUAGUUACACAUCUUUUGGAUAUGGUUAGGCAUUAUGGACUCCUCGGGUAUAGUUAUAGCCAGGGUUUUCACCAGUCAUGUAAGCAUUGUUCAGCAUGCAUCCAUGCUUAUGUUUUCUAUAUUGUGUUGAACCCAGAGGUUUUAUUACUCCAACAAUUAUUAUUGGUGCUAUUAGAUGUAGAUUUUUUUUUCUUACAGGUUUUCAGGUAUGGUUGCUACCUGCCUGCUUAAAUAGACACUAUAGUCACCAAAAUAAUUUAAUGAAGCAGUUUUGGCAUAUAGAUCAUGCCUUUGAAAUCUCACUGCUCAAUUCUCUGCCAUUUAGGAGAUAAAUUACUUUUGUUUCUGUCCAUGCGGCCCUAGCCACGUUUCAUUUUAAAUCAGAUGUUUUAUAUUUUUAAAGUUUUUAUCUCCUGCUCUUUAAAUUGAACUUUAAUUGUAUACAGGAGGCUCAUGUGAAGUGUAUCAUCUAAAUGAAGUUGUUAUGGUGCCAGAGGCCCACAGACUCACUUUACCUCAAGAAGUUACACCACUCUCGAUUGGUUAAACCCCAAAAUUGUCUCCAGCGCCAAUCUCAGCUCCCCCAUAGGCCGCAUUUGGGUUCUAAAAUGUCAUUUUAAAUUAGCUUGCAGUGCCGCUGGAGGAGUGAGGAGUGUAUCUGAGCAGGGGCGCGCUGAUUGACUGAGAGCAGUCAGCUGACACAUUCAGCCAAUCAGUGACUCUCCAUUCACAAAACUGGCUUGGAAAGAAACGUACCUUUUCCGGGCUGGUUUUGUGAAUGAGGAGUCACUGAUUGGCAGACAGGAUCAGCUGACUGCUCUCUGUCAAUCAGCGCGCCCCUGCUCAGCGACACUCCUCACUUCCUGAAACCAUUUCAGAAGCCGGAUGUUGCCUGGGGGGGGUGAGAUUGGCACUUGAGGCAACUUUAGGAUUAAACUAUUUAACUCCUUGAGGUAAACGUGAGCCCAGGGGACUCCUGGCACCAUCAUAACUUUAUAUGACAUUCCUAUGGAGCUUAAACUAUCCCUUUAACAGUGCAGGAGAUAAAAAAAAGCUAAAUAAACAGAAUUUGCAAUAAAGGAAGUAUAAACAUUAGAUGACUCUUUACAGGAAGUGUUUAGUAAGGCUGUGUAAGCCACAUGCAGGGAGGUGUGCCUAAAUGGUAAUUUAUCUCCAACAUGGCAGAGAAUUUAACAAAAGUGCUUUAACUCCUAAAUGGCAUAGAAUUGAACAGUGAGGCUACAGGAGCAUGAUCAAUACACCAAAACUGAUUCAUUAAGCUAAAGUUGUUUUGGUGACUAUACUGUCCCUUUAAUUGUCAAACAGUAUUUCAUUAGUAAUGUGCGUGUGCUUAUUAGUUCCUUAGUUAAUCUACAAAUAUAAUGAUUCCUAGUUUGAAAACAUUGCAUAGCAGAGAUGUUAUAUACUUAUAUUUUCUUGUUCCACCUUCUUGUUCACCACAUGCGGUACACUUACAGUUGAUAGGUUUGUAUAACAGUUUCAUUCCUACUAUGCCUUUUCAGUAGCAUUCCAGUAUUAUAAUUUUACAUCUGCUUAUUUAUUGUUUGUUAAUCUUGUACUGUGUGUUCUUACACCCAUCAUGUUUACACUUACCCAUGUAAUGUCAUGUUUCUCAUGUACUUGGAAACCAGAGAAUAUUUGAAUUUACCUUUCCUGAUUAAACACUUUGUUAUUAUUAUCUUCCUUAAUUUGUGUUAAUUGUUUUAUUACACUUGCUAAGGUUAUACCUAUAGGCUAUAGGUUACUUUCCAUUUACAUACAGAUGUAGGUCACUUAUCAUGCAUUAGCUAUUGAGAUGUUUAGUAGUGUUCUCUAAGAUUGUCUUUUAUAGUUACUCGAUUAUGGCUACUGUUGUUAUGGGCAUGGGCCCUCAUUCACAGGUCAUGCAUUGUGGGCACUUAUGCCAUGCAGGUCAUAGUUUCUUCUAUCAAAGAUCAUAUGCUCAUAUCAUUGACAGGCCUUAUGCCAAGCAGGUCAGGACUUUCUCUGUCACUGGUCAUGCGCUCAUGAAAUUUAUGGGAUUCAUGCCAGUAGGCCAGAGCUAGCUAUAUCAAAGGUCACGUGCUCAAAUAAUUUACAGACCUUCUGCCAGACAAGUUGCAGCUUCCUCUAUCAGAGGUCACACUCAUGUUAUUUACCAAAGUUCUGACAGUUGGGUCAAAGCUUCCACAUCAGAGGUCAUAUCCUCAUGUUAUUUACAGACCUUAUACAAAGCUGACAUGAGCUUCCCUAUCAGAGGUCAUUUACAGCCUCCCAGCUUGCCAUAGAAUCCAGCGUUGCAAUUUAAUUAUCUACGUAAAUGAAUUCAGAAUUAGUAAUAAGGUUGGAAGAUAUCUAAAAGUAAGGACAAAAGCUGGUUUAACAUGAUAGUAUUUCAUUGUGCUAUGUUUAAAUAUUUUGUUUUUCAUUUGCCUUUUUGGUAAUAUGCAAGGUACAAUUUUUGGCGGCUAGGGGUGCACUCAGGCAACAAGUUCCAAGAUCUGUGAAUUAAAUAUGUUAUUUCUCUUGUAAGUCCCCUCAAAUGUUAUGUUGUUUCAAGCAUAGCCACAUCAUUAGGUUAUAUACCACUGAGGUAACCAACACUCGUUUGAAGGAUUAUAUCAGUAACACAGUUCAGCUAUGAAUUUUUGAAUAUUGACAUUUUAUGUUAUGAUAUUCAGCUUGUAGUGGAUUGUAUUGAGGCUGUCCUUAGGAAUUCGUAUUGAAAAUGUAUUUGGGUAAUUGUUUUCCUGUAUGUUUGUAAAGUGUAUGUAGUUUUUGUAUGAUUGUUCGGUAGUUUCAUAUAAAUGAAACUACCGAACCAUCAGACCACCCCUGUGAGAAGUGUGCGCCUCGUUAAGCGUUCACACUCUGCAAACUGCAGCUUAAUUGAUACAUUGUAUGUGCCUGUGUGGUCACCGUUCGGCAUACGAACCACGUGCGGCGGCCAUCUUACGCAUGAAAAUCUCAGCGGUGUUUGGUCGUCGAGUGUCUGGAACUCAAAUCGGACACUCAAACAACCAGGGGCGGACUGACAGGUCGGGCACUUCGGACGUGGUCCGAGGGCCCGGCCGGGAGGGGGGCCCGCCACCAGGGCCGCCAUCACGGGGCCCGGCGGCAGGGCUGGAUUGGGGGCGGCAUCUGGGGACUGCAGAAGGUGUCCGGCCGCGUUUCAUGCUGGAGCCACCGGGCCGGGUGGCAGCCACGCCGGUCCGGCGGCACUCCUCUCACUAAUGCUGAGGACGGAAGGAGGAGGAGCAUGUCUCUCUAUCAUGCUCCCUGCGGUUCCCACAAUUCCCAGCACAGAAUGUGGGAACCGCAACGGAGCAUGAGGGAGAGACAUGCUCCUCCCUCCUUCCGUCAUCAGCAUUAGUGAGAGGAGUCCCGCAGGACCGGCGAGGCUGCCACCUGGCCCGGCGGCUCCAGCAUGAAACAUGGCCGGCCCCCUGUGUCUCAAGUCAGAGAAAGAGGGGGAAUAGAGAGAUGGAGAGGGGGGGAGAAAGAGGGGGGGAAUAGAGAUGGGGAGGGGAGAAAGAGAGGGAGAAAGAGGGGGGGAAUAGGAGAGGAUGGGGAAGGGGGAGAAAGAGAGGGGAGAAAGAGGGGAAUAGAGGGGGGAGAAAGAGAGGAAGAAUGAGAAGGGAGGGGAAUAGAGAAAUGGGGAGGGGGGGAGAAAGAGGGGGGAAUAGAGGAAUGGGGAGGGGAGAAAGAGGGGAAUAGAGAGAUGGGAGGGGAGAAAGAGAGGGAAGAAUGAGACACAAGGGAGAAAGAGGGGGGAAUAGAGAGAUGGGGAGGGGGGAGGAGGGGAAUAGAGAGAUGGGGGAGUGGGGGGAGAAAGAGAGGGAAUGAGACACAGGAGAAAGAAGGGGAUGGGGAGGGGAGAGACAGAGAGGGAAGAAUGAGACACAGGGAGAAAGAGGGGGAAUAGAGAGAUGGGGAGGGGGAGAAAGAGAGAGGAAGAAUGAGACACAGAGGGAGAAAGAAAGAGAGAGGGGAGUUAGGAGGGGAGAAAGAGACACAGGGGGAGAAAGAGGGGGAAUAGAGAGUUGGGGGAGGGAGGAUAAAGAGAGGGAAGAAUGAGACACAGGGGGAGAAAGAUGGGGAGGGUGGAGAAAGAGACAGAGAGGAAGAGAGAUGUAGGGGAGAGAGAGACACAGAAAGGGGAAGAAAGAAACAGUGGAAGAGAGAGAGACAGGGAGAAAGGAGAGAGACACACAAGGGGAGGGGGAGAAAGAGACAGAGGGGUAAGAGAGACUGGGAAGGAGAGGGGAGACAUAGACACAGGAGCAGUGAGGGAGAGAAAGAAACAUACAGAGGGACGGGGGCAGACAAAAAGGCACACAGAAGGGCUGUACAUAUCACUGGUGGAUCCAGGGGGGCAAUUGUCCCCCCUGCCACAGGCACCGUGCGGGCAGCCGGCAGGGGAGGGAGGAAAAGAGGACCUGGGAGCUCAGCCUGCAGCUCCUCUGGGUCCUUCUUGCGCGAGCACAGAGCAUUGCCGCGGUUACCAUGGCAACGUUACCGCUCUUGCGAGAGUCAACUCUAGCCCUGGAGCUACGGGCUAGAGUUCACUCUCAACACUGUAACCCCCAUGGAUUCCUGGUGGUCGCAGUGGUGAGAGUGAACUCUAGCCCCACAAACACACUGCCCCCACACACACACCAUACACAUUCACACACUGCCCCCACACACACACCAUACACAUUCACACACUGCCCCCCAUACACACAAACUGCCCCCCAUACACACACACUGCCCCCACAUACACCAUACACAGGCCUACAGCAAGCCACAGGCUUACAGCCAACAAGCCCACAGCCUACCAGCCGCAGCCAGCAAGCCGCAGCCAGCAAGCCCACAGCCUGCCAGCCGCAGCCAGCAAGCCCACAGACUGCCAGCCAGCAACAGUAAUUAAGUUAAGAGGAGCCAACUUGGCCUAGGUAUCACGAGCUAUGUUGUUUUGCUAUAUUGUGAAUAGGAACCAGAGUGUUGGAGAGACCCCCCUCCAGGCCCCAUUAGACUCCAUUGUAGUCUCUAAUGGGGCCUGGAGGAGAUUCUUUCUAACACACUCUCUAAAGGACACUGAGAUAGCCUCUGCUAGAAUGACCCCCCCCUCCAUGGCCCAUUAGCCCUCAAUUGUAGUCUCUACUGGGGCCUGGAGGCAACUGCUUCCAGCAGGGGCUAUCUAAUGGACGCUGAGAUGGCCUCUGUUAGAAAGACCCCCUUCCAAGCCUAUUAGACUCCAUUGUAGUCUCUAAUGGGGCUUGGAGGGGAUUGUUUCUAAUACACUCUCUAAAGGACACUGAGAUAGCCUCUGCUAGAAAGACCCUCCUCCAUGGCCUAUUAGCCCUCAAUUGUAGUCUCUAGGGAUUAUUGCACUUUUGUUCCUUGUGUCUAAAGAUUGUGUAGGGUGUGGAUAGAGGCGGGACAAGGGUGGCGCUUGCUGCGGAGUAUGGGUGAGGCCUGUAAGGGGGCCCUUGAUUUAUUUUGCCUUAACUACAGUGAUACACACACAACCACACACAUAAACACAGACAUAAACACAGACAUACACAAUCACAGACCCACACACAUACAAUUACAAACACACAUAAUUAGAUAUACACACGCAUACAUCACAUACAUGCAUACAUGCACACAUUUAAUAAUUAAGCGGUCCACCCAGCCUCCCUACUUUGCUCUGGGAGGGCUAGAGUGGAUCCUCAGUCCCUGGUAGUCAGUGGUUGCUGCUGUGAUCUCUGUGCUCUUCAUGCACACGUCUCUUGCACAUCCUGUAAUAUGAUGCCGAUGCUUGGAUGAUGUUAUGUGCCAACUCACUGCAGGGCGAAGACAGUCAGAUACAGUCAGAUGUACACCGUACCAAACACAUAGUCACUUGCACACUGUCAAACGCACAGCUGCAGGUAGACAGUAACACACACAGUUACAGACAGACAGUCACACACACACAGCUACAGGCAGACAGUCACACACACACACAAUUACAGGCAGACUGUAACAUAGUUACAGGCAGCACACAGUCACACACACUCAGUGACAUGCAGACAGUCACAGGCAGACAGUCAUACACAGUCCCAGGUAAACAAUCACAGGCAGACAUUCGUACAUACUGUCACAGGCAGACAUUCACAGGCAUAGACAGUCACAGUCAUACAGUCCCAGAUGCAGUCCCAGGUAGACAGUCACAGGCAGACAUUCACACACAGUCACAUACAUUUACUGGGAGACAGUUAUAGAUGCAGUCACAGGCAGACAAACACACAGUCACAGUCAGAGAGUCACAGGCAGUCAGUCACAGACACAGUCACAGGUAGACAGUCACAGGCAGACAUUUACACACAUAGGCACAGGCAGACAGUCACAGACGCAGUCACAGGUAGACAGCCACAGGCAGACAUUUACACACACAGGCACAGGCAGACAGUCACAGACGCAGUCACAGGUAGACAGCCACAGGCAGACAUUCACACACACAGUUACAGAUAGUCACAGGCAGACAUUCACACACACAGUCACAGAAAGUCACAGGCAGACAUUCACACACACAGUCGCAGAUAGUCACAGGCAGACAUUCACACACACACAGGCAGACAGUCACAAGCAGUCUUUCACACACACACACUCUCUCUCUCUCUCUUACUUACUGGUGGAGGAGUGGAGUCAGUGAGUCCCUGGUGUGUUGGAGUUGGGGAAGCAGUGACUCCUUCCUGCUUCCCCUCAGUGUGCUGCAGUGAAAGGCAGCAAAUGGAGGCUGGCUGUAGCUCCGCCUCCGCAUCUGGUUUGGCUCUGCCUCCACGGCCGAGUUGGCUCCGCACCCAAUUCUCCGUGCAGUACUUCUGUACUGCUGAAUUCCCAGCCCCUGCAUGUGUGAGCUGUGUGGCUCCAGGCGCCCUGAGCAGCCACACAGCUCACAGAGUCACAAACCUGGCCAGCCCUGGAGGCACCCCCCUACCUGGUGGCACCCCCCCUAACUGGUGGCACCCCCCUAACUGGUGCCACCUGGGGUGGACUGCCCCCCCUUAGUACGCCACUGGUCAUUGGAACCAAUAUGGGCCAGGUCAUCCCCAGCCUCUCCUAAUAAUGCAUCUACUAAUGCUGAGCCCAUGCACCCCGGAGACAGCAAACUUGAGGUUGAGGCAUUCAGAGCAGCAGAUAACCAUGUCUACUCUAAGCUUGACAAUUGCCUCCGUCCUUAACGAGUUAAAGAAGCAAUAUUACACUAUUGUGAUGUUUGUUCUUUUCCCUAUAAGGUUUAUAACUGCAUAAUAAAUAAAACAUCUAUGACCAGUAGAUCUGGUGAUCUGCCAUUUUUCAUUUCAUUUUUGUGGGUGCAUUGCUAUAAGAAUUGCCAAAUUUUGUUUGAGUCCAUGGUUUGGACAUGUGCUAAUUUCCAAAACUAGAAAAUGGAAUGAAACCAAAUGGACUUUUGGAUCCAUUAAUUUUCAUUGUAUGUAGUAAACAGUGGAAGGGAAUUAUGUGUGGUAGUCUGGGCAAACCAGCUCAUUCUUUUUUGUGCGAUGUAAUGGUUGCCCAAAUAGUUUUCUAUAUUCCCAGUUCAAUGAAAUUAGUUCCUUUUUGAUGUUAGAGGACAGUUAGUAAAUAGUGUUUUUUGGCCAAUAAAGACAAGCAGAGGGAUGGGUGCUCUUCUGAGACCACAAAGAAGCCACUGUCCAGUACUCGUCAGCUGGUUCAUGUUCCUCCCCCCAGAACCACCUGCACUCCACUACCUCCAGGUAUUACCUUGCAUGUUUUAUAGUAGCUGAGCAAUUUCAUUAAAGCCUGUUCCCCGUUGCCAAUUCAAGUAGCCUAAGAAGAAGAUAUUGGAAUUAGAGGAGGAAAAUGCUUCUAGUGCCACAACCUGCUUCUGCUUCUGCCACCGACUCUAAUAGCAGCAGCAGUACAAUUACCACUACUACUACGAGUACAAAAGAAGAUAUUCUAAUAGUUUCUAGUAGCCAGAGAGACAGGGAAUCCAUAGUAAGCGUCCCUAGUCUUCAGCUUAGCUGAGGGUAAUAUAUAUCUGCUUCCACUAUGGUGGCAAAGUUUAAAAAAAACUAAAGUGUAUACACCCAGGGACAGUUUAAUGAUUUUUUACACCCUUGAAAAAAAAAAAAAAACAAUUCAAUCCACACUGAAUACGGUAGAGUUCUUAGUAGCUCAAAAAAAGUGUGAGUGUACCUUUGUUAUUUUUAAAUAUGCUAUAUUAAGACAUAUUACACUAUACCUGUGUUUUGCUUUUUUCUCUCUCUUUUUGAGAUAUCUGAUACCAUACAGAAGCAAAAUCAAGUUCAAUAUAUGUGUAUGUAUAUGUUUUUUUAUUGUAUCAUUGCACUUUAAGGUUACCUGUUUUUAGACAUGGUUUACCUACCUUUCGGUUUUUAUCUUCACAGCAAUAAUAUUCACAUCAAUGAGAUGACAACCCCACCCCUGGCCACACACACACUCAUACCCCUAAGAUUAGUGUCACUCUUUGUCCAUUUCAAAUAUACACUUGCAAUCCUCAUCAUGUGCUCUUGUAUUACAAAACCCUAGUUGAGAUCAUGGAGAUGUCAAUGGAAAUCAUGCUAGAAAGGUAAAUUAUAGAGAAGUUCUGUAUGCUGUAUACCUACAAAACAAAUGUAUAAAUUAUUGUUCUUUUUGGUCUAUCUCAGACUGAAAAAUUGUGUAAUCUCAGUUAAUGUUUUGUCAAGAGGAAAAAAAAUCAGCAUGAAUACGAACAUUAAAGUGGUAAUAUCUGAGUUCCCAGCAAGUUCUCUCAUUUUUAUUCCGAGAUGUUUUCAAAAACUGUUUCCAUUUCCCAUGGCUUCUUAGCUUCUUAAUCCCAGUCAAGAGAGAUAGAAUUCCAUUACAUCUUCUUAAGAAGAAUAAAGAUAAAAAAUGACAACAUUUGCAUUAAUUUACAUUAUAUCUUAAUGCGAAUUUAUAUCAAGAUUCUAAACAUGUUUCAGAGACUGGAAGUAGGUCAACAUUAAACUAAUCUGUAUAAAAUAAGCAAAUGUAUUUCCAGGUGUUUAGAUCAUCAGUCCCAAAUAGGUGACUUGUGAUAAAAGCGUUAUGUUUUACAUGCAUGCAAAAUAGGUUAUUUUGAGCCAUAUGCAUAUUUAUUAACCUAUAUAUAUUAACUUAAUGCAGCACAUCUGAAGCACCAAAUAAACAUUUAAAUUGUAUUAAAGGGACACUAUAGUCACCAAAACAACUUUAGCUUAAUUAAGCAGUUUUGGUGUACAAAUCAUGCCCCUGCAGUCUCACUGCUCAAUUCUCUGCCAUUUAGGAGUUAAAUCACUUUACUUAUGAACCCUAGUCACACCUCCCUGCAUGUGACUUGCACAGACUUCCAUAAACACUUCCUGUAAAGAGUCAUCUAAAGUUUAUCCUUCAUUUAUUACAAGUUCUGUUUAAUUUAGAGUCUCUUAUCCUCUGCUAUGUUAAUAGCUUGUUAGACCCUGCAAGAGCCUCCUGUAUGUGAUUAAAGUUCAAUUUACAGAGAAAUAGAUACAUUUGUUUAAGGUAAAUUACAUCUGAUUGAAAGUGAAAUCUGUUUUUUUUUUCAUGCAGGCUGUGUCAAUCAGAGCCAGGGGUGGUGUGACAAGGGCUGCAUAAACAGAAACAAAGUGAUUAACUUCUAAAUGGCAGUGAAUUGAGAAGUGAAACCUGCAAAGCAUGAUCUAUACACUAAAACUGCUUCAUUAACCUAAAGUUGUUUAGGUGACUAUAGUGUUCCUUUAAAUACAUAUUAGUUUUCAAAAUUCUUCCCACUGUACAUAACAUUAAGUACUACAUAUAAAAUACAUAAAUAUGCACAUAAAUACAUUAUAUAAAAAUAUUUUUAUUUAGGAAAAACUGUGUUGUGUAAAGGUUAUUGCUCCAGUAUUCUUACAGAAUACUUCUCUAUGGUUAUUUACCAAACAAAGAAUUUUAAGGAAUUUUACAUAAGAAGACUUCAUAGUUGGACAGAAACUAUUAAACUCUUCUUAUCUUUAUUUAUUUAAGAAAAUAAGUUAAGGUAUUGGAAAAUGAGCUGGAUAAAUCAAGGAACUCCUUUGGGCACCAUAAAAAUUGCAGAUGUUAGUGCAUUUUUUCGUGCAUUUUUUUCUCACAACUUUGUGAAUAGGAAGCUAGUGAGACCCGUCUGGGGAUUCCUCGUUGAAUACUAAAAAAAAACACACAAAAGUGCUAUAUACAGAAAACAAAUAUGUGAAAAAAGUAAACAAAACUUAACUUAAUAAUGUUACAGCUUCCCUAGGUAACCUUCCCAGAUAGGUACCAUACAAAUCACUGAAUAUAGUGAAUAUAGAAAAAAAAAAGGUAUAAUAACAGUGUGGGUAUAAAAGAAACUUCUUACCCUCUCGUUAGUAUCAGAAGCCAAAAGGAACAGGAGCAGGAAUCAGGUAAACAAAUUUACUUUAUUUGGCAAUAAAAAUUGAUAAAGAUAAAAUUGUAAGUCCGGUCCUAUGCGUUUCGUUCUAUAACAAGAACUUCCUCAGGGACCUUAUAUAAUAAAACAAACAAGUAAUAUGCAGUAAAAAAAAAAAAGCCACCUUAUUCCCACCCUCCAAAGUUCCCUAUAUAUAGGUGCCCGUUAACCUGAUCAUUGAUCGCGUAGUAGGUGUUACCUUGGAUCCGAAUCAACUGUUUUCAAUCUUGAUCCCGCAAUGAUCCCAUAGUGAUAGCUCAAAAUCCCAGUAAUAUAUUUUACCUUUAGUGUUGGUAUAUAUGGCCUAUUUUCAGUAAUGGUAUUGAUGGUGGACCCUGUAUACACUAUAUACAAAAUACAACAUAGUGCGUACUGUUGUAACCAAUAUACAAUAUUGGUAGCGAAAAAGGAAGAAAAAUCUGUCCCUGAUUGAGUAUAUAGAAAGGGGUAAUAGCCAGAUGUGCUUCUAAAAAUCUCGAAGAUAUUUUAUUGUGGAGACCAAAAAACGCACAAUAAACAGACAAAAACCCUUGCUGUGACUACCUGACUCAACAAAGGUCAAUUGCAGUAGUCUACACAAAGAGCACAAAUAUGCAGGGUUAAGGGGGUGAGGGAUAACACAUACAAGUGAAAAGAUAAACUGAUUUAGUACAAAUAGCUAUAACAGUAUUUUGCAGUGUAUCAAAAAUAUAUCUAGUACACGGAAAUGUAUCCAAAUUGUAUCGUUAAGCUAGUGUCAUAUGCUGAGCAAUCAGCCAAAACUCAGUAUGGUGAUUACGCCUUUCUAUAUACUCAAUCAGGGACAGAUUUUUCUUCCUUUUUCGCUACUAAUUUCUCUAGGGUUACCCCCUUAUCUGUUCCCUCAGACUUCUGGAUAUCUAUCACUUGGCCAACUAUUCUUUAUCCAAUAUACAAUAUUGUGAAAAGAAAAAGGUGCACUCACAAUUGAAAAAUAACGGAACAAAUGUUGAUGAUAAGUUGAGAAUGGACUUCCUUUGAAUAAAACCCUAAACAAUUCUUAUAAAAAAUAUCUCCACAUUCAACCCAUUUGGUUCCAGUGUCUGCAGCCUAUGUAUCCAGUAUGUUUCUCUUUGGGAUAAUUUUUUAAUCCUUUCUCCUCCUCUCCAAUUAGGGAGGACUUGUUCAAUACCCAAACAUUUAUAUUGUUUAAUAUUGAAAACUAGACAUGACAUACAGUGGACUGGAACCAAAUGGGUUGUGAGUCAUUUUCUAAUGUUGUUAAUAUGCUCCAUAAUUUAAACAUUUAAUGAUCUUUUAGUGCAUCCUACAUAUUGUUUACCGCACAGACACAGCAGUAAAUAAACAACAAAGUUCGUGUGGCAGCCAAUAUCUGUACGAAUAGGGAACUCCUCUUCUGUGGUAAAAAUACUAAAAGUAGUAAAACAUUUUCAUUGAUACAGAAAUACAUGCCCUGCAGCUCUGACAUCCAUUGAAACCUUUCUUUAUGAUAAUUAUUUUAAUCUAGUUUCUUCCCCGUGAUGUAACUGGGUGCUAGCAUGAUUUUCAAAUUUAGAUUUUUCUUAUAUAUCAUCAAUGGAUGUUGGGGCAACAUGUUCCCCACUAUAGGGUCAUUCAAAAGUAUAGACCAAUUUUUUUUUUAUAGUUCUUUUUAUUUCCCUAUGAUGAGCAUUGAACCUUGUCGUGAAAGCACAUUUAAAGGGUUCACUUUCCCUGCUAGGAUUGACAUUGGUUGACCUCUAUCUGUGCUUGUCAUAAUUCUAAUCUUUUUUUCUAUUCUAUAUACUAUACUAUCUUGCUCAUUGAAGCCUAUGGCAUUGCCGGAAACCAAAGAGGAAGCCAUUUGUUAAAGUAAGGCAGUGCUAACUUCAUUGAGAUGACAUUGUUAUGGUGACUGUUCUUUAUUAUGGAGGAUCUAACAUCUACUUGAUAGAAAGUCAAACUAAAACAAAACCGUAAUAUUUCUUGCCAACUAUGGAGUUCAUGUUAAGGUGAAGGCAAUAUGAGAAGAGGGGAACAAGUGAGGGAUGGGGAGAAAGAAAAGGUGAACAAGUGUGGGAAAAGGGUACAAGAAGAUGGAAACAUUUGGAAAAUGGAAGUGUUAACGGGCUCCUCUGCAUAAUUGGCGAAAUGAGGAAGGGAACAUAUGCAAAGGCGAGAUUAAUUAAUAAAGUGGUUUGGGGAGAGAUAAAAAGGGACAGAUAAGAAAUGGGAACACAGUGCACAAACAAACUUAUACAUCCACAGGCAGAUAAUUCCACAUCCUUAUUGAUCGUACUGUAUACAAAUCCCAUUCAUUUGCUUUAAACUAAAUCUCCUUUCUUGCAGUCUAAAUGUGUGACAUUGUGCCCUAUGUGUUUAUUAACAGAGUCAUACCACAAACUACUUACAUUCAUCUAUCCAAUCACAUACCCCAAACUAAUCAUAUUCAUCCAAUGACAUACACCAAGAUUAAUUGUGGAAACUAACCUUGGGGUAGCAGAGAGGGUAAAUCUGGCCCUAGUAAAGUCUAGUGCUCAGUACAGUGACUGAACCAUGGUCCAUUGCAGGAGUGUCCCAAGCUCAGUUGACUAGCUGUAUUAUUAAGAUUGUACACUGCUUUCAUGUAGCUAAAAUUGCAAGAACCGUCAUAUGCGCCAUAAUACUCACAGCCAGGUUCUCUGUAUUACCUAAUGAAGGUGUGGGGAAGAAUAUAUAUAUACAUUCUAUAACUAAGCUAAUAACCAAUGUACAUGUUAUGACUAAAGGCCAAUAACAUUAAUUACAGGUAAUAAUUAUUACAUUUUGGGGUCAUUUUUGCAGGUAAAUAACCAUAAUUACAAUGUUGCUUGAAUAUGUGUGACUUAUCAAUAAUAUCCAUUUGCUGCAUUCCUCAGUGAGCUAACCACUAUUUGUCCAGUAGAAAUUAAUUAACAAUUCUAUGUGUUAUCUUGACCAUCUCUCACAUGUUUGAGCAAGUACACUGAAUAAUGUUGACCUGAAUUUACGUAUUGCAAACCAAAGAAACAAUAACAGAGAGUGGAAGAAAGAAACACAAACAGCUUUUCGUAACUCUUAUGUGACAAAUUGUAAUAUUUAGCACAGAGUUUAAAAACAUGUUAUAUAGGAAACAAACAAAUGAUCUGAAAGAUUAGAAUUUGAUAUGCAAAUAGCUGUAGCUGUGAUGAGAAAACAAGUUUGGAAAUCUAAAUGAGCACGCAUUCAUAAGGAACAAUAAAUAAUACAAUGCAAAACAUUUCGAAUUUAAGCUAUUUAAGCAAGAUUUGUGAUUUCACAGCACAUAUACAGUGAAAUGUGUUUUCAUGCUUAUUUUGCAUAAAGUAAUAGAUUCCAGCUGUGCUUAUACAAAGGCAUUCUCUAGUAAGAACAUUCAUAUUAAAAACAGAAAACAGUACUCUUGAAUCUUAAAUGAUGUAAGCAGUGAAAACAUUUACAGACUUGUGGCUGUGGUAGCACAAUGAGUGUUAACACUAAACUAAACAAGAUACAAUAGCAUCAUGCUGCUAUGAGAGUAUGUCCAAUAUCACAAAAUAUCAACUUCUUUUAAGCAACAUGGCAUAUCUCACUACUCCAGUGUCCAGAGAAUCAGUAUGCCGGUGGGAGAGAGUGGGACAAUGACAAUAUUGCAUCAAGGUCAGUCUUGCAUGAAGGCAGGCCACGCUACCUGUUCAUUACACAGGCCGGCCAACUAAGGGCAGAUUUUUAAAUUAUCUUAAGGUCCCUGAUGCUUGUGUUUCUUGUCCCCUCUUUUGAAUGUCUUACCCCCUUUAGUGUAUCUUCUUCCCCUUUAAUGUAUCGUAUCACCUCUUUUGUGUGUCUUACACCCCCUUGUGUUCCCUUGAUUAUCCCACCAGCCCCUUUGUUUAAUUUGUUCCUCCCAACCAGCCCCUUUGUGUGGGUAUCUCUCCAUCCCUAGCCCCAUUAUGUGUCUAUUCCUCUCAUCCUAGCUCCUUGGUGUGGCUCUUCCUCCACCUCCAGUCCCUUUGUGUGGUUCUUUCCCCACUCCAGUCUAUUGAUGUGGCUCUUUUUCCCCCACAGUGUUUUUGUGUGACUUUCCAUCCUUUUGGUGACUCUUUUCACCCCUCUAAGCCCGUUUGUGUGACCCAUUACCCCUCCAGAUAUUUAUAUGUAUAUUUCUUUUCCCCAGCCCCAUUGUGUGGCUAUUUAUUCUCCUAGCCCCUUUCUGUGUCUUGUUCUCCCCUCAAGCCCCUGUAUGUGUCUCUUUCACCCGUACCCCUUUGUAUGGCUCUUUUUUUAUCCAAAGCUCUUUUCCAUGGCUCUUCCUCCUCUCAGCUCCUUUGUGUGGCCAUUUAAACCCCAACUCGUUUGUGUGGCUCUUUCUCCCCAAAGCUCCUUUGUGUAUCUCUUUCUCCCCCCACUCUGCCUGUGUGUUUGUGUGUCUUUUUCUAUCUUUUUUUUUCUGUGUCUCCUUUGAUCCCAUUCUCCCCCUUCCCAUCGCCCUCUCUUUCACAAAAUGGUGUCAGGAAUAUAUUGAUCCAGCACGCAGAAUAGUAUCACGUCGUCUUUACCGUGGACGGAUGUGGGGCUAUAUAAUUGCGUGGGUCCGCAGCAGCCAGCGUGCACCGACAUGCCACACAAGCCAGGCAUCAUGGCAGAAGACCGCCGAGCGGGACUCCCCUCGAUCUUCGGAAGGUUAUUAUCUCAGUUUUUGCCACAUGGAUACGCUGAUACGUGAAACUGGUCUGUAGACAGGUACUGCGGCUUGGAGUGAUCGGCAGAAAGAGAAUGCUGUGCACUCUCCUAAAGCAUUGCAAAAGCUAGUAAGGUGCUUUUGUGUAAAAAUGCAUAUUUUACAAAUGUAUUUUAUUUUACAAAUAUAUAGAAGCUUGGUUUCUAGCGCGUAUCCUUGAGGUAGAAAGGCAAGCUGAAACACCCAAACCAGAGUCUCUCAAUUCUGGUCCAAUACAUAAAUUAAGUAGAGAGUGUAGCUUCUUGAUGUAUUUCUUGAGUUAGGUGUAGUAUCAGAGGUAGUGGGAUAUGCAAAAACAGAAGCAUACAGCAGAAUAUAUUGUAGUAUAUCUUGCGUAAAGUAAGAAUAUAACAAACGGGGGGCGGGGACCGGAGCAGAUGCCAUUUCACUGAGCUCUGAGAAAAUUAUACCAAACCUGCUAAAUAUUAAGCGCAUCACAUUGUAUAACAGGUCUCACAUACCACCGCUGAUUGCAGAGCAACUUGCCUGCACUGCAGAUGCAAAAUCUAUGCCGAGGUGGCAAGGCCUACCGCGUGGGUGGACAGCAGCAGGACAUCGCAGGAGGGCUCUGACCGUGGUAUACUCUGGGACUGGAAGACCAGCAACCCGACCCGCACAGAACAGGUGAGAUGGGUCGAAGAUCCCAAAAACCCCACACACCUCGAAGCCACAGCGCAACAUAGGCCAAAUGCUACAGACGCCUAGCGCGAUGCAGGCCCCUGUUUCCCCAAGAGGCCUCACCUUUGCCCUCAGAAGAGGGAGACCCCCAUGACAGCCAUCUACCAAGUCCCUAACACUAAGAACCCUCGCUGGGAGCAAAGGACUGCACCCCUGCCACUAAAAGGGAUAUACAAACUAUUCUGGCAGGUCUCCAACACAACCUUAAACAGAUGUGGGAAACACUCCUGGCGGUGCCCACUACAGAGGUGCAGGCCAUGGCCGCUGGCACUCAAGCAACUGAAGAAGUAGUUAUAGACCUGAAACAAGGCCUCCACAAGCUGGGUGACACGAUAAACAGGCAAAUUUGUCCAGACAAGUAAAUCUACUAGACGACAGGGGCAGAUGAAAGAAGAUUAAAAUCAGGGGGGUCCAGGAGUCAGUGUCGUUGGAUGAACUUUAUUUGGCGCCUAGUGGCUGCAGUAUUGCCAGCGAGACAGGCUAAAACCUCCAAUCUCCAAGUCGCCACAGGCGCUUAACGCAGCUCCACGGGACCUCAUUCUAUGGUGCCAAACAACGUUGGAUAAACUUGGGCUGUUGACGGCACUUCACGGAAAGACUCCCUAUGAAUUUGAGUCAAGCCGACUCUCCUUUUUCCAGGACUUAAGCAGGGCCACGAUUAUCUGGCGCAAAGAAAUGCAAUCGUUUACUAAACCACUCCAUACAGCAGGGAUCACCUACAAAUGGGCGACUCCUAGAGCCUUAUGGGUGACAAAAGAUGUAAAAAACUACUAGGCCACAGACCCCAAAGAUGGCCCAACUUUAAUGGCGGCAUUGGGACUCUCCAACCAAAACAACUCUUCAGCGCAACAACCCUGUCCCCAAUCCUGGAAUGCAGUAAAAGGAGCUGUCUUCAUGCCCAGAGAAAAAAGAAGCACCACGACUUGACUCAAAUCCCACCAACUGUUGUCUUUCGUUUGAUCUCUCUGUUUUUUUUAAAACAGCUUACUUUUCAAAUGUGUAAGUUUCUGUUCGUGUAAAAUUAGAUGUUAAAAUUACCAGGCUCGCUGUCCAAUAAAUGAGAGCAACCCCUCCCGAGGUCGAUCUCACCUGCUCUGGUGACACCCCCCAACCCUAAGGUACUGGGGAACUGUUUACAAAGGAGCUACCUGUUCCUAAUAUGUACCGAGCAGAAACAAGCACUACCAUAUCUCUAGUGGCAACAUACCAGCUCAGCUAGGCUGUGCAAUACCACUCAGACUCCUAUGUACCUAGACUUACACUAGCAGUGCUUUACAAGACAACGACACAUAAUGACUUUACAUAUGCCACUCAAAGUUUAAGGAUCACUAAACCCGUUUUCCUCACACUAUAUAACCCUUAGAUCCCCCCCACUCUCAGGGUCCCCUCCCGCUGGGCUGAAGGGGUUAAAACCAGCGCCGGGCUGGUGACCUCUAAAACCAGCGCCGGCGCUGGUGACCUCUCCUCCUCCGCCGACGUCAGCUCCAUUUCUCAAUGAUUUCUUAUGGGCGAUUUACGCAUCCAGCGUCGCAGAAGUGCCUCUAGCGGCUGUCAGGAAGACAGCUACUUGAGGCUGAAUUAACCCUGCAAUGUAAACAUAGCAGUUUCUCUGUUUACAUCUGAAGGGUUAAAACCUGGGGGACCUGGCACCCAGACCACUUCAUUGAGCUGAAGUGGUCUGGGUGACUAUAGUGUCCCUUUAAGUACUACCACAUCGAAUUCAGUGAGACAUACACCUAUGUGCCAUUCCCAUAUAUACAGCAUAUGUACAUCAAUGAUAAAUAACCUGACUAAGGCAAAUGGCCCUAUAAUGUGGCACUACACUAUAUCUCUACACCAGCACAGUCCAACCGUUCUACGCCAUAAAGUGCACAUAUAACCCUCAUCCCUCCUAGGAGAUAUGGGUCCACAAACAUCUCCUCCUGGACCAUUAACUUUGCCUCCUUGCUUAAAGAGAGGCGCACUGCUCCACAUAGACGGGUGAUAAUUACUCCCCUCAUUUCAUAUGUUACCUCUCAUUACAACAUAUCAAUCUGUUUUGUUUAAAAAAUUGCACAAAUUGCAUCUCCACCGUGCUAUGUAUAUAUUGUGACAUGAUACUGAAAUAUGUGUUCUUGCUGUUGUGGUACUACACGUAUCCCUGUAAAUAAAGUCUAAAAAAAAAAAUUAUAAUAAUAAUAAUAUAACAAAUAGAAUUAACCUUACAGUUUGUAGUGCAAAGGUAGCUCUGUCUGAAUGCACUUGGGUGGUACAAUCCCUGCCUCGGGAUAUUCUGUGUCUGCUUUAAAGUGCUUUCAUGCAUAGGAACUCCACCUAGGUAUGGUGACAAAGGGUGGUGUUAACCCCUGCUUGGUGUCUCAUAGAUUUGUUGGUAGGUAAUAUAUAUAUAAAAAAAACAAGAAUAAAAAAUAUUGUGCUCACGGUUGUGUUGUGUUGUAAAUAAAAUAAUAAAAUUAGGAGAGUUACAAAUAGAGAGCAAAAAUUAGGUUUUAAUCAAUCCACAACACUCAGGCAGGCACAACACUCAGGCCACCAGAAAUUUUGGGGCCCCUAACUGAGCUCAGGGUCUGGGCCCCUGGAGGCCUGCCUCCAAGCCCGCCCACAGGGACCGCCUCCAAAUCCUGCCCAGAGGAAUACCACACAGACACAUUCACUGAUAUAAAUGUACACAGAUACACACACACACACACACACUGAUACAUACUAACAGACACACAUACUGAAACAGACAUACACGCAUAUAGGCAUACAUACUGACACACACAUAUUGAGACAUACACAUAUACAGACACACAGGCAUACAUAGUGACAGACAGACACACACUACCACAGCGAUAUUUACCAGUCUCUUAGCAGAACUCCGUCAGAAUAUCUCUGCGGACAUCUCACAAGUUAGAGAGGAUGUUAAAGGAUUCACCAAGCGCCUAGCUGCAGUGGAGCAAACCACAACAGCACAAGCCUCACAAGUUCUCGCAGUACGAAAACAGGUCAGUGACCUAACCUCAGCCCAAGUCACUCUGAGCCACCAACUGGCAGCACUUGAAGACAAGAGGCGUUAUAAACACCUGAAGUUCAGAAGCCUGUCAGAUGGUGUAACUGCGGCAGAGCUGCCUGGGCCGCACCUCACCACCAGCGAUUACAAUCUGGGACCCAGCUACUGUUGUCCCAUUCAUCCCAGCAUCCAAGUGUGCAACCAGCGUAACAAACACCUGACUCUUGCACUUUCUCUUUAAUUAUUGUUUUCUUUUAUAUUUUCUUGCUGGAACUGGUCCCAAAACUAUGGACUUUAAAUUUUUCAAUUUUGUGGUUAACUCAAUCAAGUUCAUGGCUCUGACACCUCCCUAGACCACAAACCGAUAUGUCCAGCUGUACUGGCUCCUCAACUUCCACACCCCCCCCCCCACCAGUCCCAAACAAGAUAUACCACAUUGGCCUCCAACCAGUGGAGCUGUAUUUAACCAUUUAAUUAUUUUGCGAUUACUCAGUACUUAAUGUACCUUUGUGCUAUAAUUAGUCUUCGCUAUCGCCGUGUCUAUAGCAGAUAUAAAUCUAAUCGUCCAUGCUACAAAUAUAAAAAAAAAAAACACAGUCAGCGUAGUUAUCCUUUAUAAUCUAUAAGCCCUUGUACAAUUACCAAUGUCUUAUGGGCUAUGUAUAUCUCAUACCUGAUUGUGGACAAAAUAAAGAAUAAUAUAUAUUUUUAUUUUAUUUAUGAAUGAAUAUAUAUAUAAACAAAACCCCCAAAUAUAUAUAAACAAAACCCCCAAAUAUUGAAGGCUUGUCUGAGCUCCCUCUCUGGUCCAGGUAUAUAAGUGUUGUAAAUUGAGAAUUUCCAGCGUCCCAGUCUCUUAAUGAUGUGUACUGGGGUGUUAGAGCUUAAAGCUGGGUUGUAGCCCAACCUUGAUAGUAGGGUUCUGAUGUGAGGAAUGAAUUUAGCUGUGGUGAGUGGUUGCCCUUGGAGUAGCAGUAGUGGAGUGUCUGGUGAGUGCGUGUGGUGAGACAACAGGUGCAAAACCAGAAUAUUUACUGGGCACCAAAUAUUCUCGGUCGGGAAGAGGGGAAUGAUAGUUGGAUAGGCAGUGUGAUUAGUUUUGGAAGAAGGUAAAGAGAGUAUGUAGUGGUCAUCUACUUUCUUUAGGUGAGAAAGUUUAAGGCAUAGAGCGGUAUCUCCUUGACGUAUGACUGUGUACUCCCUAGGUCUGAAGAAACCUCAGAAAGCUAAAAAGAUGGUGGCUUUAAUGACCAGAUUUGUAUUACGGUCAAACGGGGAUUUGUCCAGUAGGUCGCUAAGAAGCAAGGGCAGAAAAUGACCAGCCUUGAUUGUGGACAGAAGGUGGUCCGCCGUAAGCAAGACAGUGAAUGCGGAUAAAAAGGGGUUUAGGUCAUAUAAUUGUACUUGUGGGGAAGGCCAUAAGUCCCGUGUGAGAACCCUUGUGAGAAAACCCAUCACCAGAUAAUUCCCAACUGCCUAGCUGGGUGUGAGUGCAGACAGAAAUCCAGCUCAUUUCUUAGGUGACAGUCGGGCUGGGCACAUGGUCUUGGUGUGAGCUCUGAAGCAAAUGGAGCAGAUGUGCAACAACCUGCAUGCACUGUAACUGCAUGCCCCCAUAUUAAAGUUAUUGCACACCUGCGCCUUGCCCAGGAAUGUGAAGGGUCUGCCCAGCUUGUCUCUUUGUCCGCCUUCCUGUCUUGUGAGUGGGGUGAAGAAGUGGUGGGAAGUGGAAGUGGAAGGGUCUGCGUCGCAAUGGCACAAGUUGGUGGAAUGAGAGGUGGAACUACAGAAGGUGCAGGACGGGGGCCUCAAACCAGCAAAAUGACGGCAAAACAGUUCUGUGUCCAUCUGGCACCAGUUGAUUUUUAUGUUGAACUGUGCCAGAUGAGUAGCUGCCUUUGCCGACACUGAUUUGUGAUAGUCGUAAAAUGAGGACCCUCUGUACUUGAUGCUUAAGUCAACCACCUUGUGCAUGUAUAAGUCAAGCUCUUCCCUCCUAUGUGGGUACACCGUGCAGAUAACGUCACGAUAAAUGCCAAAGGCGAUGACAAACUGGGGAAUGGAAAGUUUUUUAUUAAGUUGUGGAUCUCUGGUUCUUAAGACUACUGAAAUGUCCCCGUAAUUAUACGAUCUGUUUUCUAGGAUAUCUUGGGAGGCUAUGAGUAGUGACAUUAGAUUAACAUCCUUUCCAUCAAGAAUUUAUUUCUUGAUGGAAGCUGGGACAGAGUGGGCCGGUGAGACGUAUAGGGUAGUGGUAAUGUCUGGUGGGGGAGAGGAAAUGAGGGGUAUGCCAGUCUGUGCGGCCGAGACUACCAGUGUAGGGCCUGCUGGGGCUGUUAAAUCACUUGGUGUGGCUAUGGCCGAUUACACUUUCAGCAGCCUGCUGUUGAUCGUUUGGAGAUUGACCAGAAUAGCAGUCAGGGUCUCCUGAGUGGUAUCUGUGCCAUAGCUAGUGGCCCUCGUGAACUAGUGCUGGGCCUAGGGACAUUGGCCUGUGCCAUCAGGAGUCAGUAUAGUUCGGCCUGUCUAGCAGUGGCUGGAAAGGGGAUCCCCAUGAGUCUGAGCUCUGCCGAUAUUUUUGGAAUAGUCCAAUAUCUCAGGGAUCUGGGGGUAGAAGGGGUGAGGGAUUCCUCCGGAGACAGGACCUGACUGGCGUGCUGGGUUUUUUGUCCAACGGCAGAUCGAUGAUUGGGAUGGAAUCUUGUGACAUUCUGAAAAAGGAAUAAUGAUUUGGAUAAGUAGGGUGUCAUGGAGGUGGGGAUGAGACCUUGGGAGAACUGGCCUGCUAGCUAGCAAGUGACAGGUGAGGCCCUGCUAGUGCCAAGUGGUGGAGAGAGGCUCUACCUAUGAUUUGGGCCGAGGGAAUUUUGUGGCCACUUGAAUGUGGUGGCAGGAUGUUGGCCUCUCGGUGACCGUAAGAGAUUCAGGGCGAGCGGGGUGGCUAACUAUGAUUUGGUUGUGGGGCUGAACCUCCGGCGUUGAGGUGGGGAGUAGACCUCGCAGGACCGGUGUAUUUACUUAGGAUAGAUAAGGCCAGCGCCUAACCCUAAAUGCAAGUUCUCUAACCUGAUGGGGCUUGUCUCUUAGAAUAAUGUACUUGAACGUAUGUAGAUAUUAACCUUGAGUAUUUGUCCUAAUUCUUUGGACAAUGCACAGGAAGACUUCAAUAUAUAUUCUUGCUUCUGCAGGGAACGGGUCCGGUCAAGGUAUCCUAUUGGUAAAAUAGAUGCUAGUGGGCCCUGAGGCGUGCCACUGGUAUGCCAAGUGUAAAAAUGUCAAACGUAUGGGUAGGUGUGUAUCGAGGAUACUGUAACGUAAGAACCUGUGUAAGCUGAGGGACCUGAAGGUUGGUCCGUAAUUAGAGACAAGCCCCUGGGUUCAAACAAAUUGUGAAAUUUAAAUGAUACGAAGGUGAAGUGAGGCCUUAAGGAGAAACAUAAUCGUAGUAAGUAAUAUUAACAAUACCUGAUACUGAAAUGCAGGGAACCAGGUAGUCUGUUUGGUGGUUUAAGGCGUAGAACUCGGCGAAACUGCAGUAAUGACGCAGGUCUAAGUAAUUAUAUGUAGAAAUGAUAGACAAGAAAUGCACAGUUAAAUUAAUAGUAGCAAAGUGGUGUAGGUUUAUGUGAUUUGUUGAAAUCGUAGUGAGGAAUCUUAGACCUGGCUCGUUUUGAAGUUUAGAACCCAUUUUGGGAGGUGGGGAGGCUGAAUGAGGCCGUGGAGGCUGAAUAAGGCCUCAAGGGGAAAAUUAAAACUGGUAAACCUUCUUACCUGAUACAGUAAUACAGGAUACUGGGAUACCACUUCCUGGAGACUGUUUGAAGGAAAAGUAGUAGAACCUAAAAACAUAUGCAUUCUAAGUAUAAGGAACUUGUGUAAAAGGUUUUUUAGGAAACAGAGAUUUUGCAAUCGUGCAAUUGUCUGUAAUGAGCCUGGUGAAAAAAGGUCCGUAAGAGCUUAACCUAUGACAUGCAACUAAGAAAAAGAUGUAGUGGGCGGAGCAACCUUAGUUAGAUAGAAGAUUAGUAUGAAUACUAGUGAAAGAGAAAAUAAAUUGUACUAUAAUAGACUCCAGCGGGUUAAAUAAUGGUGCCUGGUGGUGUAUUUAGCAUACCGUUACUUAUUACGUGAUUGUGGCCACACUGAGCCUUUAAGAAGAUUCCCCUGUUUAAAAAUGGUGUCCCAUAAUUUAAUGUGACUAUAAACGGGAAAUAGUGCAACACAGAAUUACUAUUUUAGCCAGUGGUGGCUGAAGAGCCAUAUACUAAACACAUAAAUUAAUAAAGGAUAAAGAUAAUGUAAAAAGGUGAGUGCUUUUGUUUAAGUGAAUGGCAUAAUGAGGUACAUUCAUAACAGAUUUGUGAAUUGAAACGCUGAAGCCUCCUGCGUUUGGCUAAACGAACGAACGAGAGGACUGUAAGCAGAAAAGACCACCUGCGGUCGGUUAAAUGGAGCAUACGAAAAACUAAACGAAAGCCAUUUAUAUUGCGUUCAGCUGUACAAAUGUACGAAUGAAUAGACGAAUGUAAGUAAGUUUAGUGCGGUCGGCAGUUAGUUUAUACGAAAGACAAAAAUGAAGGUGUGUGUACUCUGCGGUCGGCUGUUAGCUGCACGAACGCAGAAGUGCACGAACAGAGAAAGUGCACGAACAGGAAAGAAUAAUGAAGGGAGCCUAUCCCUGCGUUUUUAGGCCCGAACGUGGGAAAUACCCGAAUGCUAUUUCCCACAUUAUGCUUACGUGGACGUGCCGGUCUCGUGACCGGAAACCGGGGGUUACGAUGUCGGUAAGAAGCCAGUUGGCAGGCACGGAGGUCAGACAAACUGCUGCUGGAGGCUGGAAUUUUGGCGGGAACUACUGACCGGAAGUGCUGGGACAAACAGCUUGAACGGCAAAGGUAAGUAGGGGGGUAGGGGUUUAAAUAGGGUCAUUACUCCUCCCACAAAUUCAGGCCAAAUGGCCUUCCAACAUAUAUAUAUAUAUAUAUGUAUAUAUAUAUAUAUACAUAUAUAUAUAUAUAUAUAUAUAUAUAUAUAUAUAUAUAUAUAAAAUAAAGUUAAAUAAUGCUCUUGCACUCACGCUUUAGUGUCUCUUUGUAACUAGGUGCUAGCAAGCCAAGGCUGUAUUAUCCAUUCUUCCAAGUAGGUAGCUGCACUCACAGAUUUUAAAAGUCCAAAAUGUAUUGAUAAAUGUUAAAAAAGACGAUCAACGUUUCAGUUCUACGUUCAAAUACCUAAUGAAAGUCCUCUAUGUAGGACUGAAACGUUGAUCUUCUUUUUUUAACAUUAAUCAAUAAAUUAUGGACUUUUAAAAUCCGUGAGUGCAGCUACCUACUUGGAAGAAUAUAUAUAUAUAUAUAUAUAUAAAAAAAAUUUAAAAAUCAAGAUGCACUCACUAGAGUGCAUCUUGAUUUUUUUAUUUUUAUAUAAUUGACGCACCCAGGCAAGUAAUACACUGUUUUUCUUUUUCAAGGAGAGUGCCAAGCUAUCAUCUUUUUAUAUAUAUAUAUAUAUAUAUAUAUAUAUAUAUAUAUAUAUAUAUAUAUUGAUUUCUUAUAUUUGGAAGUAGCUACUAGUAUUAAGCAAAUUACUAACUGUAACCCACAAUUUAACCUUGGAAUAAAGUUAACAUCCCACUCAAAAGUUUGUGUUAGUACCACUGUGGUAGUAGGUAGGCAAUAAGCUUUUUGUUUUGUUUUUAUAAUAUUUUACUGAAGAGAUGUUUUGUUCUACAAACACUUAACAAACAAGACCUGUCAAACUGUAAAUUAGUGGUUCCAAGUUGGCGUUAAAUGACUGUGGUUAGCAACAUCUCCUACCUUCCACUUAGAGUAGUUUUAAGUGCCACAUGGAGGAGCUAGCUUGGUAGAAACAGAAGUAAUCUAAACCUAGUCUCAUACUAGGAUUAAUGACACAGACUACACCCCACUACCACACUGACACAGCAAUGGUAAAAUCAUGUUUUGUCCAAUUACCACUUUAUUGGUCACAAGAUACAGUCCAUAUGGUUGGGAAGAUCUCUUGUCCAUCUUGGGAAAUUAAGCUGUUUUUUUGCCCCACCAAAUAAAACCUUGUCCUCCAUUCCAAUCCCCAAUUUUCUGGUAUCAAGAACAAAACUCAGUCAUUUGGAUUGUGAUUCUGUGAUAUGACAAUUCAGAGUUGCGAAGUUCCCAAAUUUAGACAAAGUGCCAUUUAAACCAAUUCUAGUCUAAUAUUAAUCUCAGUCUUUAAACUAAUUAUUGCUUUAGAAUUUCUUAUGAGUUUCUUCCCAAUUAUGCUUUCUCUUUCACUGUGACUAAGGUAAUUAUGACCAGGAGAAAAGAAAAAAAACAUAUGCUGCAAAUAUUAAUAAUAAUAUGAACCAGAGAUCCUUCAAUUCUGCAGAAUUUCCAUGUAAGUCAUGUUAUGUUUAAUGUUUUAUAUUACAGUAUGUUAUAUAUUACAAUAGGCAGGCUCUUAAAGAAGAACUGUUACGAGCAAUUAUUUUUACCAUUAUGUUUCUUUAAUCCCUAUAUUUUACGAAUAUUUAUUUAAAUUUGAAAAUGUAAACAAAAUGUAGAAAUCCACACCUCUUUAUUCUGAUAAUGGGCAUGUCCGUCCGAGCUCGCUUUCAAUCAUUGUUGCAAUUUUCCUUUUCACCUGGAAGCCAGCACAGAGAAAGCAUACUGAGAAGAAAUACAACUUACUGGAUCAUUAACUAAAGUAAGAAUUGUUGGGAAUCCAAAGUGAAUUUCAAAUUUAAGGCCAAAAUAGCUGAAAAUCUCCAAAUCAGCUAUACUUCCUGUUUGGCUAGUUUGGUCUAUUAAAGUUCUAUUCUAGGGAUUAGACAUGUUAACUACUUAUCACUGGAUUCGCUGGAAGAUUAUGUGACUGCGUUAAAUUGUCCUUCUCUUUUGAGUGGUUCUAACAAUCUCAGAAUGAAGAUUACGGGAAUGGAAAUCAAUUAGUUGAAUAGUUAUGCAGAAUUUGCUAAAAUAGUGCCUAAGGUUAAAAUCAAUCAGCUAUAAAACAAUUACACUGCUUGAACAGCAAAAAAACACAAGCUAUAGGGUGUUUUGACAAAUACAUCUAACGGGGCUAGAAGCUGUGUAGAUGACAAAUUCACUUUGAGUACAUUCAAGACAGAGUUAUUCACAAGGAACUAACAAGCACUCUGUAUCAUUUUGAAGCUGGGGGCAAUAAUCUAUGUUUCUUUUUACAUGAGCUACUGGAAAUUGAUUAAAGAACACUUGGCCGGCUUAGUUUAGUCACAAAGUGAGAAACAGCUAUUGCAGUUUUGCUCGGGGCUCGAUACAUCUUAGAACACUUAAAAUAACACCAGGAGCAUUCAGAGCAUGUAGCAAAAUGUAGUGGGUGUGCUGUUAUUGUUAAAAUAUUUAUUUUAGCAUGUUAUGUUUAUGUUAAAAAGCAAUGUAAUAAAUGUAUAAUAGUAAUCAGAAUGAAUCCCAUACAUAACAAACAGAAACGUUAUUAGAUGCCAAGACCAAAUAGAUAUUGGCAGUAUAAUAUGCAAUAUAGCAUAGGCAUAGGUUCUUAACCAGUGUUAUGCAUACCCCAGGGUGUACGCACCCAACAAGCAGUGGGUAUGCUAAAAGUUGGCCGUCUACCCUCCUUAUUGCCCCCCCAGAAGGAGGCCAGCUGUGUGCUAAGGCUGGCAGGUGCCUACUCUGCCCAAAUGCGCUGUGUCCGGAGGCGGGAAUAAAGGUGGACGGUGAGGGAGCACUGAUGUCUGUGCUCUUCCAACACUAUACCCUCAUGUACCCUGCGUUGAUGCCGCGACAUGGUUAUGACGUAACUCCGGCCUAAACAUCGUUCUAGGGUGCAUAGCAAGAAAACCAUAAAAAUGACAGCUGCCACACUAGACCCCAUGGGAAAGACCCCACUAAAGAAUCCCCACUAGAACCCAGGGAAAGAAUCCAUCCUAUGUCUCCCAAAGGUAAGGAGACUAGGUGGGCUUAAAUAAAAAUAAUAAAAAAAAAAACAUAAUUUGUGAGUGCGUGAAAGAAUGUGUUUGUGUCUGUCAGUGUGCUUCAAAUCAGUUAGCGUGUGUGUCAUAAGUGGGUCUGCUAUUGUGUGUCAAAUCAGGGAGUGUGUGUGUCUGUCAGUGAGUGUGUGUGUGUGUGUGAGUGUGUGUCUGUCUGUCUGUCAGUGAAUGUAUGUGUGUGUUUCAGUAAGUAUGUCUGUUAGUGUGUGUCAAAUCAGUGACAGGGUGCCUGUUGAUGAGUCAGUGAGUGUCAGUGUCCUGACUGUAAAUAUGUGUGUGUCAGUGACCAAAGGUAUAAAUGUGUGUGUGUCAGUGUUCUCUGUGUGUAAUUGUUUGUGUUUAUUAUAUUUUCAAUUUAUGUCUUUUAUACUUUAGAUCAAUAGUUCAUACACUCCUCCUUACAUACACACUAUUCACAUUAUAUCAUAUUUAUUUUAACAAUAUUCUUUAUCACCUUUAAUCAGGCUUGUCCUCCACUAUAUGAGAAACCGAAAUGACUACACCAGGGCCAUCUAUAAUAUGAAUAGGACCCUGGGCAAAGAAUUUUGUUGGGCCCCCUGGGCCCUGCGACCCUCCCAAUCCCCCUCGCCCCCAAUUAUGCCCAACCCCCAAUCACACUGACAUACUGACACAUACACACAGACAGACAUAUUAAAACAUUCACAGAUACAUACUGACACACACAUACACUGACACACAAAUAUAUAUUGGCAGGCAUAUUGACACACAUUCAGACAUACUGACACACACAUACAUACACACAGACACAUACACUGACAGAUAUACUGACACACAGACACAUACAAUGACAGAAAUACUGACACACACACAUACACUGAGAGAAGUAUUGACACACACACAGACAUGCUGACACACACAGGCAUACUGAUAUACACACACUGACACAGACAGACAUAGUGACACACACAAAGACAGACAUAGUGACACACACAAAGACAGACAUACGGACACACACACAGACAGACAUACUGACAUACACACACAGACAUACUGACACACACACACAGACAUACUGACACACACACAGACAGACAUACUGACAUACACAGACAGACAUACUGCCACACACACAGACAUACUGACACACACAGACAGAUAUUUGACACAUGCACACAGACAGAUUUGACACACACAGGCAUACUGACAUACACACAGACAGACAUACUGACACACAGACACACAUACACUGACAUAAUUUUGACCACACACACAGACAUGCUGACAGACACACAUACAGGCAUACUGACAUACUGACACACACAGACAUACUGCCACACAGACAUACUGACACACACACAGGCAUGCUGACACACACACACAGGCAUACUGACAUAACACACACACAUACAUACUGCCACACAGACAUACUGACACACACACAGGCAUGCUGACAUACACACAGACAGACAUACUGACACACACACACAGACAUACUAACAUACAGACAGACAGACAUACUGACACACACACUGACAGACAUACUGUCUGACACACUGACAGACAUACUGACACGCACAGACAUACUGACAUACAUUUAGCCACCCUCCAACCACCCUUACCUUUUCUGGAGAGUGGUUUCCCUGGGGUCCAGUGGCAGGCUGAGGCAGUUGGGAGUUCUCCUCUGAAACUCCUCUCCUCCCUGCCUUCCUCCUCCCGCGCGGCUCUGAUCUCCUGUAGGAGGAAGUGACGCGCGGCACUCACUUCCUCCCAGCCGGCUGCCAAACAGGAAGGGGCCUGGUCGCGCUGUUUAAGCGUCACAGCGCCCGACCGGGCCCCUGCUGACAAAUGCCCACCAGGUGGCCCUUAUCGCAUGGGCCACCCGGGGGCCCUCUUUAGCGUGUGGGAUGAUGCGGCUGCGCAAAUCGCGGGGCCCACAGGGCAGCUGCUCUGGGGGCCCCCAGGAGCAACUGGGCCCGGGGCAGCUGCCCCAUUUGCCCCGCGCUAAAGACGGCCCUGGACUACACAUUUCAUUUGGAAUUUGAAUCAACAGAAAUUUUCCUAAUUUGUUGCAAAAUUGGAAGCGCUUCAGGAUCGGUUUUUUUUCCCUUCUUUUUGAUCAACAGCAAAAACAUAUGUGAGGAAGACUGAACUUGAUGGACUCAAGUCUCUUUUCAGCUAUGUAACUAUGUAACUAUGUAAAGUUACUUUAGCAAGGCUUUGGAAUUUGUUUAGCAACGGUACUUCUCUGUAAAAGGUUGAGAAACAUUGCCAUAAGGUAUUACUAAAAUAUUUUUCAGACUUUAAUCUUUUAAAACAUGUUGUCAUUUGAGAUUUUUUUGUAUUAUAUUUUUUUACAGACAUAUAGACCAUGUUUUCUAUCAAGUGCUGGUGUUUAAAUGAUGGUAAAAUCAAAUUGUUUUCAGCAAUUCAAUGAUAAUGCUGCUUAAAGGACCACUCUAGGCACUCAGACCACUUCAUCUUAAUGAAGUGGUCUGGGUGCCAGGUCAUUCUAGGGUUAACCCAUUUUUUUAUAAACAUAGCAGUUUCAGAGAAACUGCUAUGUUUAUGAAUGGGUUAAGCCUUCCCCCUAAUCCUUUAGUGGCUGUCUCACUGACAGCCACUAGAGGCGCUAUGCUUCUCACUGUGAUUUUCACAGUGAGAGCAUGCCAGCGUCCAUAGGAAAGCAUUGUAAAUGCUUUCCUAUGAGACCGGCUGAAUGCGCGCGCAGCUCCUGCCGCGCGUGCGCAUUCAGCCGGCGGGGCGGAACGGAGGAGGAUCGGAGGAGGAGAGCUCCCCGCCCAGCGCUGGAAAAAGGUAAGGUAAACCCCUUUCCCCCUUCCAGAGCCGGGCGGGAGUGGGACCCUGAGGGUGGGGGCACCCUCAGGGCACUAUAGUGCCAGGAAAACGAGUAUGUUUUCCUGGCACUAUAGUGGUCCUUUAACGUAGAAAAAUGAUUGACUGAAACUCUGCCAUCAUCAUUAAUUAAAUUGCAAGAUUAAAGGGACAUUAUAGUCACCCAGUCUCAUUGAAGUGGUCUGGGAGCAGUGCCCUUGUCCCCUAAACCCGGCAAUGUUAAUUAUUGCAGUUUCUGAGAAUCUGAAAUAAUUUUAUUGCUGGGGUUUACUCCAUCUCUCAUGGCUGUCUGAGAGACACUUCCUGGUGUUUCACAGAGAUUUAGUCCUUGAAACAACACUGGAUGUCCUUAUACUUACUGGAUGAGGAUGUCCAGCAUCUUUAAAAACCUCAUAGGAAGGCUAACCUCAUAGGAAUGCUCUCAGCACAUUCACAUUAGGUCUCCCCAUCGAUGACAUCACUGGAUGAGGAUCCUGAUCCAUCAGAGAGGGACCUCAGUGUUGGAAUCAGGUAAGUAAAUGAAAGGGGGGUUUUAACCCUUUCAUGGGGAUACACUGUAGUGUUUUUAAAUACACUUUUGUAUUCCUAUCAGUAUAGUAUUAUUUUAACAACAAACAAAAUGGUGAUAUUGCAAGAUUUUCAAUUAUAUCACAAACUAGUGGUGAUUAUAGGUGACGUGUUCCCUUAAUCUGUUGUUUUCCAAAUCAUAAAUUUUGAGUAAAAUAUAUGUAUGUGUGGAUUAUAAUUAUUAUAAUUGCAUUAUAUUGUUGUAGCAGUGCUUAUUUAUAAUUUAUUUUCUUUCAUUGAUCAACCAAGAAAUGUUCAUAUAAUGAUUUCAAACAUAAUAAACUUGAGAAAUGGUGUUUGCAUUGUUUUCUGCUCCUGUGCAAAACCAUUUUUGGUUAGUUAGCUGAAAAUUAUUUUUGGUGAUUUAUCAAGUCCUUUUGCUUGUAUAAUUUGAUAAUGGUAAAUGGUUCUUGGUAUUGUGCUGAUAACUCUUUUUCAGAGUGAUUGUGAUCUCCUAAGUUUGCCUGGUUAGCAUGUGGUGUAGGGACAUUUUUCAAUACCAAUGUCAAAUGUUCUGUCAAAAGGUAUCAGAACAAUGUUAUUGUGAUCAUUGUUAAUGGCUCAUUAAUAGGUUUGAGCGGAUGUUCAGGUCCGGCAGGUUCGGAUGAACUUUGAAAGAAAGUCCGGGUUCGGGCUCGAAUUUCACCCCGAACUUGACCCCGAACCCUAUUGAAGUCAAUGGGGACCCACACUUUUGGGCACAAAAAUGCCUCUAAAAAAGUCCUGGAAAGGGUUAGAGAGCUGCAGAAGGAAGUAAAAUCGGGGUAAGAGUAGGACAAGUGCCCUGCAAACAAAUGUGGAUAGGGAAAUCACUUAAAAUAACAUAACAAUUUAAAAUACAGCUGAGCCAUAAAUUAGCACUAGAUGGAAUCUUUGAUUUUAGCUUUGGAAGAACAUAAAUCAAAAUCUAAAGCAUGGCUGUCAGGAGGAUCAACAGAAUUUGAGAGAGGGUUGGAGUGCAGGGUAUUCUCUUUCAUUGUUCAAACUGAGCUCAACUCCUGAUGCAUGGAGAAAAUGCCUUCACAAGCAUCUGCUAUUGUGUACAUAGUUUACUGUUUUUUAUAUAUAUAUAUAUAUAUAUUUUUUUUUUUUUUAAUUGGGGUAGCCCCCAAAAUAUUGGGACAUAUAACAAAAGAGACAUUUGCGGCCUGCAGUGCAUUUCUUGCAGUCCUGAUGCAUGGAGAAAUGCUCAACUCCUGAUUCAUGGAGAAAAGGCCUUCACAAGCCUCUGCUAUUGUGUACAUAGUUUAUACUAAGUGACUCAUAGGUUGUGGAGGCGGUGAUCACGGCGGUGUAGGUGGAAGCAGCGGUGGAGGAGGAGGAGGUAGCCAACACUGUUUUAUAUAUAUAUAUAUAUAUUUUUUUAACUGGCGUAGCCCCCAAAAUAUUGGAAAAUAUAAAAAAAGAAAACUGUUCGGCAGAGCGACUGACCUGUGCGUGCUGCAUCUGAAACUCCACUAUCGCCUGCUGCUGCUCGCACAAUCUCAUGAGGUGGUGAGCGGGAAGUCCAAAGUUAUGCUGCAGCGUAGACAGGCGAGCAGCAGGCUGAGAAUGCCGAACGCGCGCACAGACGGUCCACACUUUUUCAAUGUGCUACCAAACGACAAGGCGACGACGCAUUCGUAUGUCAAUCCAUAUCAACUUUCGAUGCCAUUUACUGUGCCUACCAUGGUGACCACUGGUAACAGGGAAUCAGUAUUCGAUUCUGUACAGGGACUCUGACAAACGGCUACCACAUGCAAGGAAGGCAGCAGGCACGCAAAUGACCCCCUCCCGACGACAAAUAACAAUACAGGAUUCUUUAGAGGCCCUUUAAUUGUAAUGAGUUCACUUGAAAUCCUUUAACUCUGAUCAAUUGGAGGGCAAGUAUGGUGCAGAGCGACUGACCCGUGCGUGCUGCAGAUGAAACUCCACUAUCGCCUGCUGUUGCUCGCACAGUCUCUCCAGCAUGUGCAAGGUGGAGUUCCACCUUGUGGGCACAUCGCAUAUGAGGCGGUGAGCGGGAAGGCCAAAGUUACGCUGCAGUGCAGACAGGCGAGCAGCAGCAGGGUGAGAAUGCAGAAAGCCGCUACAGUGAAUGUCGCAUCCUGUUCCAAGUUGCGGAUUAGUCUGGUGAUAGCUUCUGGUAUCCAGUACUCUUUUUACUGAAGCUGCAUCAGGGUCCUGGUAUGUGGCAGCACAAACGCUGGUGCUCAACACCAGGGGGCAUGCGGUUACCCUGCGCCAGACCCUGCUAAUCCAUUCCACACUGUGGCUCCUAACUUCAACAUCAGGCAUACUGGGUCCCAGUCGUCCGACCGCCGCCCAGACAGUGUCUGGAUCCCGGUCACCGGACUGUGAAACUGCGAAUGGCUAGUUAAAUCUGUUAUGGUUCAUUUUAUCGCUCCAUCUGUUACUUGGAUAACUGUGGGAAUUCUAAAGAUAAUACAUGCCAACGAGCGCUAGGGGACGGCCGCUCCACUUUUGCACCCUGCUCCCUCUUAUGCUGUACUGGUGCCUUUGUGCGACCAGAGCCUCUUCCUCCAAACUGCACACGUCACUCGCAUGACCUUGAUUCCAUGUGGGGUCUAGGACCUCAUCAUCCUCCACAUCAUCUUCCACCCACUCCUCAACCCUGCUCUCAUUGCCAGUCUGCAAACUGCAGAAAGCCACAGCAGUUGGCACCUGUGUUUUUCCAGCAUGUAAAGUCUGCAAAGAACAUAUGGAAAUUGUUUUAGAAUUGUAUCCAGGCAACAGUUUUCCCUAUAAACUGACCUCUCAGUUUGACUUGUGAGGGUAUUGCCCCCGAAUUACAAUAUUGUUAUAUUGGUAUUUGACGCCUCUAUUUGACUCUCAGACAUGAAGAGCAUGCCCCAAAAUGUACUAUUUAACAGUUUAGCAGCAAAACAAUUAGUAUGUUUACAACUGUGCUGCAAGCGCACUAUUUGACGCUUCUAUUUGACUCUCAGAUAUGAAGAGCACGCCCAAAAUGUACUAUUUAGCAGAUUAGCACCAAGAAAAUAAUAAUUUUUACAACUUCUCUGUAAGCGCACUAUUUGUAGCUUUGACUUGACUCUCAGAUAUGAAGAGCACAACCCAAAGUGUACUAUUUAGCAGUUUAGCAGCAAAACAAUUAGAAUGUUUACAACUGUGCUGUAAGCGCACUAUUUGACGCAUCUAUUUGACUGUCAGAUAUGAAGAGCAGGCCCCAAACUGUACAAUUUAGCAGUUUAGCACCCAGAAAAUUAGAAUGUUUACAACUGCGCUGUAAACACACUAUUAGACGCUUCUAUUUGACUUUCAGAUAUGAAGGGCAGGCCCCAAAAUGUACUAUUUAGCAGAUUAGCAGCAAAACAAUUCAAAUUUUUACAACUGCGCUGUAAGUGCACUAUUAGACGCUUCUGUUUGACUCUCAGAUAUGAAGAGCAGGCCCCAAAAUGUACUAUUUAGCAGUUUUGCACCCAGAAAAUAAGAAUGUUUACAACUGCGCUGUAAGCGCACUAUUAGACGCUUCUAUUUGACUCUCAGAUAUCAGAAAAGGCCCCAAAAUUUACUAUUUAGCCGAUUAGCACCCAGAAAAUUAGAAUUUUUACAACUGCGCUGUAAGCACACUAUUUUUUUUUUAAAUUCUUUAUUUUUUAAAUUUUACAUUUUCAGCGGGGGUUGGAUACAGAAGAAAACUUGGGAAUGGGGUUAGUAUUACAGAGUUCGUAGACCAUAGUUAUGCUGUUUGUUACAUAGAGAUCAUUCUAAUACUGUUUCUUCUCUAGUUACAAUAGCGAUCUUUUGUUUACAAGAUAUUAGUCUGUCCAUUUCCUUAGUUACUGUUCUAGGUCUAAGGGUUGGGGAGGGGGUACAGAAUAGGAGUGGGAGGGGGGUGGGGUACCCUGUCUGGUGUUGAUGCCAGGAGGUUUUGAGUCUGGUCAUCUUUGGUUACAUACCAUAUCCAUCUUAGUGAUUUUGUGUUGCGUCUUAAUCGUUCUUGUUGGGUGUGGAAGUCAGGGUGUUAGGUGGGGUGUGACAGACCCAUCUGUCUGGACUAAAAGUACUGUGUUCGUCUGUUUUGCCGUUUGCAUGAAUUCCCCCAUUCGUAUGCUUUGUUUAAGGGAACGCCGGUUUUUGUCGAACGGAACUACCGAACGGACGGCCACCCAGAAGAGAAGUGUGCUGCUGGUUAACCUAUUGAUCCUAAUUAGAAUGUUGCGGUUAACCACAGACACUUCUCAAUUUAAACCGAAUACCAGGUGGUCGUCGUUAGUAUGUCGACCACGAGGCGGCGGCCAUUUUAACCAUGCGAAAGACCAACGGUGUUCGACGGUUAUUUCAUGGAACUGAAAACGGACACUUUUUCAACCGAACACCGCUGAAGCCGUCGACCUCCCCUUCUCAAUCGACAAAAGCAUACGAAUGCCGGCCGUUCGGGAGAUUCAACAACACGAAUGGACUUAACCCAGAUAGCCUUCCCAUGGAGUCAAUCGCAUACCGAAGAACUGUAAUAGACUUUGACUCCAUGGCGAUUGAACUAUGCGAAUGGGAUCUGAGCGCUAUUCGCCAAUAAUAUGCACUCAGAUCCAGGCUAUCUGGGGAUGUGUUACACGAAUGCAAUAUGUUCGGCAGUUAUAAAGUUAUAGAUUUUUAUGUGUUUUAUGACUUGUAUUUAAAAUGGCGAUUUGCCUCUGCUCUGGGAGAUAAUUGAAUUACUUCCCAAUUAUCUCCCGAGCAGAGGGGAGGGAACUGUGAUGCAUGCUGGGAAUAUUGUGGGGAUGUAUGUCCAAAAUGUCCCCAUGUCCUUCUGUCAUUUCAGUCUCCCAUUUGGUCCCCUAGGGGAGUGUCCACCAAGUGGGAGACCUGCAUAAAUACCGGGCAGGUAGCCCACAGUAAAUCAGUUCGUGUUUUACCCUCAAAGCGGAGCUUGGUCUCGUUAUUGGGAGGAUUUUAUUACCGGCGCCUAGAGACUGCUUAUUGGAAUUAUUUGCCGCUUGGAAGAUAUUGGCGUUCGGUUAAUCUUGGCAGUUCGUGGAUUUGGAGCUCGUGAAGGGAAAGAGCCGUACAGGUACCGUUCGAGAGUUUGUAGUGUUCCCUAGCUGGCGGUUCACAUGGUUUUACUAUACAUGCUACCAGACCACAUUAUUGCGAACGGGGAACAUUCACUAAACGGCGGUUUGGGCAUUUUAUUACUGGAGGUACCGUAACAUGGGGAUAUUGUGUGUUUUGUGGUCGUGUACAGCGUCAGGUCGCGUCAUCUUACCGUCGCUGAUGUUUGUUGUCAUGGGUGGGGGAUGGGUGAUCGGGGUUUGGUUCCGUGGGUCGGUUGUGUGUGUUUUUAGGGUUGUACUGGGGAGUGGGGGUGUGGAACUAGUUGUGGUGGGUGUUUUCUGUGGGGUUCCGGUCUUAGCUGUGGGGGCUUAAUGUGGGGGUGUGGUGUGAGCUCCUUCCUUGUCGGUGUCCAUUGUAGUUGGGCCUCUCUGUUUUGGGGUUGCUUGUAGCUUGUCUUGGCAGGAAGGGGGUGUCCGGGUUCCAUCUUUACUUUAUCUGUUGUGUGCUGUCUGUUUCCCUCGGCGGGGUUAUGCCAGUUUGUUGUCGGUGGCGCGUGUUUAGUCUGUUCGUUGUCUUGUGGUGCACUCUUUGACGCUUCUAUUUGACUCUCAGAUAUGAAGAGCAGGCCCCAAAAUGUACUAUUUAGCAGAUUAGCAUCCAGAAAAUAAGAAUGUUUACAACUGCGCUGUAAGUGCACUAUUUGACGCUUCGAUUUUACUCUCAGAUAUGAAGAGCACGCCCAAAAUGUACUAUUUAGCACAUUAGCACCCAGAAAAUAAGAAUGUUUACAACUGCGCUGUAAGUGCACUAUUUGACGCUUUGAUUUUACUCUCAGAUAUGAAGAGCAUCCCACUAAUGUACUUUUUAGCACCAAAAAAAAUGACUUUUUAAAACUCCGAUGUAACCGCAGUAUUUGACGCUUCUGUUUGACUCCGAGAUAUGAAGUGCACCCCACUAAUGUACUAGUUUGCAGAAUUCUUUCCUAAUCUGUCCCUGAAAGCGGCAGCAUCCUCUCCCUACAGUAAUAAGAACUCAUGUACAUGCUGCACUGGCCAAACACAGCCAUGCACACAACUCAAACGCUUGUUGAUUGGCUGCCCUGCAGCCUUUGAAAACGCUCCAUUAAAUCGCUGAACACCGAACUCCAACCCGAACAUACAGUGAUAUGUCCGUGUUCGGGUCCAGGGUCCAAAAUAUGUAAUGUUCAGUACGAACCCGAACUUUACAGUCCGGGUUCACUCAACUCUAAUUGUGACGUAAUAACUGUGCAAUCUUAAUAGGGAGAGUAAAAGUAAAAAAAACUAUUAAACACUAAUAUCCCCUUGUCCCCCUCACUAUCUAGAUUUAAGGAUGAUUAAAGAUUUAAGGCCCACAUCCAGGACUUCGACUCCACAAGCCCCUCCCACCUUUGAAUCUAUACAGAACAAUAUGGCAGAAUCCAGGAUAUGACUAAGACUCAACAUGCAAAAGCUAAAUUAACAAAUAAAAUAUAAUCCAUAUAGUAAAGUGUAUUACCAUAUUACCGGCUAAUAAUAUUGAAUAGUAUGGAACAGGCCUAGGUCAAGGUGACAGAGAGCAUGUACAUGGUAAGACAAGCCAGAUAUCAAGAAAUUGUUAGGUCACAAUUUGUAAAUCUACAAAAUUCAACAAUGUUCACAAGUUAGCUUUUCUGUCUAGGUAGAAGUAAGUAUUAAAAGUUAUUAUACAUGUUUGUAUUUGCCUGAGCAACCAAAAUAUAUGGUGCAUGUAUUAAUUUUAUUCCCUGAUAUAAAAGGCUGUUUAGCUGGUUCUCUGGGGAGCACUGUAUUCACAUUAUACCUUACUCACCGUGCCUAUUUUUUUCUCAUACAUAUCUUGCUACCUCAACAAUGAAAUCUCAAUCAGGUUACGAACUAAUUAGUGUUGUGGCUUUCAAACAUGUUUUUAAUGCCUUCCUGUUUUUAUAGAUAGUAAAUGCAUAAUGCAGUUGUAGAGAAUGUUAGUACACUAUGAAUUAAAGAUGAGAAUGCCAAUAUUACUGUUUUUCUAGAUUAAACUUUAACUCCUUCACUACACACUUCAUUUCACUGCAUUUUCUUUAUUUUUAUUUUUUUUUAUCAUUUAUACAGCAUAUGAAAUAUGGGAUGUCUAUCUGGCUCUGAAAUAAAUAACACAGGAAUAUUGAGUAAUGACUGCUCUUCAAGAACACCUAAACAUUUAAAUUGUUCAUUUAUUUGUUAAUCCUGUGCAGAAAUAUUCUAUAUUAAAAAUGCCACUAAUGUG